UGCUCCCGCCGCGUCCGCCACCUGGGCGUCCUCUCCGCCUCCGCCUCCGCCUCCGUCCCCUCCUCGCCGCCGGGUCCGCGCUUGCGCUUGCGGUCCCUCUCGUCCGCCGCCGCGGCGGCCGUAGUGGAGGUGGAGGGCGCCAUCGCGGCCGGCCGGAAGCGGGGAGCGCGAGCUGGCUCUGCUGCUGGUGCGCGCGCGCGCUCUGUGCGCUAGCGGAUGGACGACGGCUGGCCUUGCGAGUCAGAUUGCAGGGGCUGGGUGGGAGGGAGCUGCGCUGCCGGGAUAUAUAUAUAAAGCGAGGGGAGCGGACGGGGUUAUAACUCGCGGGCAAGAUUCCGGUGUUUUUUAUCACCGGAUGGAUGGAUGGAUGGGUGUACUCUUACUCUGCUUCCAUUUGUUUUGUUGUUUUCUUGUCUUUGCUUUGCAUGGGUGAAACCAGAGCCUUUGACGCAGGCGACGUGUACACCUUCAUUUCAUUUCAUUUUAACUGUUCUUGUCAUGGUCAUGCCGAGGACAAGUGCUGGUAGGCGUACGUUGACGGGGGCUUGCCGUGGUGUUCCUCGCCGGUGGGGUGGGGUGGUGACGGCAGAGGGCCGUACGUGAGCGAGCGAGGGAUAGAGUCCAGCGCGGCGGUGGACAUGAUUAGGCAUAGGCAUAGCUUUCCUGCAUGCCAUGUUCGGUUGCCUCGUGGGCGCUGCUUAACAUGGUGCCAGGGGUGCUCACAUGCGCAUGCGCCACCUCCUCCCUCGUGUAGGCACGCACGCACGCCCACGCACAUUCUGCUCCGCCACCUACCUCCGCAUACGAAUCGUCCCAUCAUACGGUGCAGCACCUACGCUUAUACGGUGGUAGUAGUCCUGUGGUACGUAGUACACCGGUGAAAGCUGCACCGCAAAAACAAAAGCGGAUGCUUUCCGCCAAAAAGUAGCAACGCACUACUACUCCCUUCGUCCCAAAUUAUUUAUCUUAUAAAUAAAUAAAAAUAAAUAUAUUUAAAAUUAAAAUACAUUUAUAUACAUUUAUUCUAAUUAUAAAUAUUAUCCAAGGGAGGAGUAAUUUUUUGAGGAAAAGCUCGUGCCUUCCGAAAGAAAAUAAGCCGCCAUGCUUAUCAAUGAUGUAGUAAAACAUAGAGCUUUCUUACGGUACCUUAUGCUGUUAUUGAAGAGGAGCAGUAUAAGCCUCAUCUAACCGUUGAUUUUUAAAGUAUUAUGGACUUGUUCAAAGGACAAUUAGGUCAAUGGUUCUAACUUCUCUCGUAACCAUAAAGGAAGAUUGAUUCUCCGCCUCUGCACCGCUCAGCGACGUGAGAUGAUUGGCGCAGCCGUCCGUCGCCACUGCGUUCGUCGGGACUAUGACGCCCUCCGUAGCUUGACGUGAAACAUCUAUUACACUGGAUGUUCGAGCGCUCGCAUGCGACGCCAUCUAAAUGGAGGAAAUUACGUCCCCUGUCCAAUUAGGGUCUAGGGAUCUUAGUGUAGAAUUCAAAGCAAGGUCUCGUUCUUCUGAUGAAAAAUGAAAUUGCGGACCAAACUAAGUAAAUUAAAUGUUAAUUUGGUCCAGCAUGGACCAGUCUUAUCUGACAAUUUUGCCCUUGCGGAUCGGUAUACUUCUCACGAUUUUGACCCCUCUUAUUUGUGCACUGCUCGUUAAUCUAAGCAGUAUAAGUGGAUCUACACCACUUGAUUAAGGAGAAUGGACGGCUCUGGUUCAUUAGAGGGUGGCGUAAAAGAGCUCAAAACAUAACUCAGCGAUAGUUAAUAUGGAUCCCCUAAAUCAAAUGACGGUUCAGUCAGUUUGCAAAACUAAAAUGAUAGUGGUUCAGUCACCGUGCAACAAUGAAUGCACUUUCCUUGCACAAUAUUUUGUUGUUGUAAACUUUACAAAUUCAACGUUAGAUUUUUAGCAUUUGCCAGCGAACAUCCAGAUUUGUCAUGCAAAGACAAAUGAAUCUGGCAUGCUGGUGUUAAAUUUUAAAGUGAAAAUUGCCAUGGGCUGCAAAAAAUUAUCAAAAAAAUUGUCAUGUUACAACAAAUAAUUAUUCAAACGGGAUCUAACUUAGCUCAGGUAGUCACAUUUCUAGAGCUAAAAUCUGAUCUCACAUGUAUAUUGGGGUUCAAAAAAAGUUAGUGAUUUUUUCUUUGAGCCCUUCACCUUCCGGGGAUUAUGGGGUUGGCAAGUACCGACCGGCGGAACCAUAGAAGAUGAAGGAGAGUGCCAACAAGAUUCCACUUAUUCUAGAUUUAAAGCAGUUUGGAACGAGAUGCGCCGACCAUGAUAUUUGGAGUUCCGAGUAGGUGAUCACGCUUGACUUCGGCUUGAACCUACAAAGGAUGUGAUGCGUUGUUGAGUGAAGGAUUAGGUAUAGCUGACCGAUACAUUGGACCUUUCUUGGCCCAUAUCCCCCUCGCCCUUAAUCUCUUGUUUUGGUGGUUGGUCUCUACCUUUUUUCGUUUCUUGGCUAGUUUGUCUUCCUCUUCUAUUUGAGGGUAACGUACUAAAAGUCCUUUAUUUCACGGGAUUUUCUUUUUCUUUUCAAAUGAAUUUAUGCUUAAUCUAAAUUUAGUAAAUACCAAAUAAGUAAUAAUAAUAAUUAUUAUUGUUAUUAUUAAAAAUAUGUAUCAGUUUCCUGAAACUAACAAGUAGAGUUAUAGCUUUUAUUGACUUACUAGCUUACGGGAACGCCUUAAAUCUCAACUUACUUUGAACGACUGCUUCCCACAUGCAUUGCUGGAAAGAAGAGUGAGCCGGGGCAGAACUUGAAGCACGGGAGAAGGAAAAAAAGAAGUACACAAGGGGUUUGUAGUUGGUAUAUGUACGGUAUAGACCUUUCUUUGUGAAUAGCUAGCUCACUUGCAAGGGUGUAUACAAAGGUCUGCUUAUAUGUUCAAAAAGCCUGUAUAGAUAGCCUAGAUAGCCAAGAAGAUAUACGUAUUUCAUAGAGAUAGCGAAUAAAGUUUUUGUUAAUUUCAAAUAGGCCAUUGAAUGCAACGGCUAAUAAAGAAGACGAAAGUGCCAGAGCUAAGAGCUAAUAUAUUCUCAGUCUAAGCAUGGAUAAAGGAAUGAUAAGAAGACAAAAUCUUUCUUGGGGAUUCCGGUAUUCUAUGACUCUUUUCCAGACUAAUUCACAAUUUUUUUGCUUUGACAAUUCAAAAGUUUGUGAAGGUUUUUUACCAAGAAAUUUAUUCAUCUUUUUCUUAAAGCGAUGGACUGCUAAUGUCUCAUAAGGUCCUCCAAGAGUUUUUUUACAACUGGUUGAACUAUUUCGAUAGAUCCUUUCAUUUCAUCAAGUCGCACAAAAUAGCGGGCUAACGAAUGGGGCCGGGUUUUGGGGACAUGGUUCUAGGUGCACAGCCUAAAGCAUUUUAAUAUUCCAUAUACUGUAAGAAAUCAAACAAUUCAACUUUUUGUGUGGCGAACAUGAGUGUUCUACUCGGAUGCGAAGUUUGGCGAAGAAAUGGCUUCCGUGUUCUUCUGAUAUUUUCGUGAUAUCAAAAAACUUGAUUUGUAACUUUAAUGUAGAACCAUUUUUUUUCACAAAGAAGGCUACAUAAGUCGUUUCUUCUCGAAAUUUUAGACACGAUUUUUGCAGCAUAACCUGUUCGUUACAGAUAUAUUUCAGAAUUGUUAGACCUUUUUGUUAUUUUUAAAAUAUUUUUCAAUGUGGAUACGCCAAGACCCAGGUUCCUUAUUAUUGCUAGCAAAUCCCCUUCCUUUUGCCAUUGGACGUCUUCAUGAGAUUUUCCCUGCUUUCAUCUGUUUUCUUUGAGAGAAAGUUACUGCUUUCUGCCCAAAAAAAGUAAUAGUAAUGCACUUGUAAUAAUAAGGAUAAGGCCCUUAAACAAGAACAAGGUUUUUCUUUUAGAGAGAAAACAAGAACAAGGUUGAGGUCAAAAGGAGAGUAGAGGAGAGCUCCUGUUUGGCGACAGUGUGGAGUAGGUGAACCAGAUCAUGGUUCACCCGCAGCUACCAAUUCUGAAACGAUUCUUCUUCUACUACUGAUUUCGACACGUUGUAGUUGGGUGGAGAUAAACAUGAUUAAUAGUAUAAUUAACCCAAGUGCCGGACGGUUGCUUGCUUGGACUGGCUUACCAUUUGACGCAGUACCUAACCUGAGGGAUAGAAAAGUUAAGCGCUGCAUCAGUGCCGACGCACGCGGCGGCGGCAGGAGCAUCACGUUCCAUGUCGCGUGGCCUGCCCAGUGCUCACGCACGAGCGCGAGCGCGAGCACGAGCACGAGCACGAGCAGUCUCGCUGGCUGCAUAUGGCCACAUGCACAUGCACAUGCAGGCUCUCCGCUGGAAAUUACAGCGAGUUCAGAGACGUUCACGGGCCAUGAACAUGAAGCAUGCUGGCGAUUUCUGCCACGUAAAGAUGCAUGUGGGCGCUGGGAUUUGUGAAUCGGCAAUGGCAGCCGAGGAAUGUAAACGCGCGCAUGCAUGCAUGCAGGCCGGGAGCACGGGCCAAAUCCGGACAGUGGAACUAACUGUAUGCAUGUCAUGGCGAUGCCUCACUCUGCUAGCCUGCUUUGGCCGCUGCAGGGUUCCCAGGCCGCUCAGAAUGUGGCAGCCUGAGCCCUGAAUCAGUGCGUGCGCGCGUGCAUGCAUGCUCUCGUGUGCCCUGCGAGAUGCCACGCCAGGACGUGAAUGCAUCAAUCCUGUGUGCAUCGUACGGGCAUUUGCUAUGCCAGUACGCCUCAGAGUGCUCUCUGCCAAACCUCCAGGCUCACUUCUGAGCUCUGACGGACGGCUUAAAUUGGAGGAGAAUCUAGCCUGCCGCCACCUCCCAGAAAUCGCCGUUAUCUUAUCCAUCGAUCUUUUCCCCUUUUACAUACGCGUCCGUCCCCGGCCAGUGAUAAUCGAUCGUCUCCACGACGCCUGGCCCCGGGCCAUGCGGACGCACAGCAGGCCCGGCGAGCGUGCGCCGACCAAUCCUUGGCUAACGGUUUCGCUGUGCGGGAUCGGCCUCCGGCUCCGGCGCCGGCGCCGUCUGCUGCCGGUGGUGGUGGAGCCUGGCAUCCUGUGGCAUGCGCGGUGGCCUAUGAUGGAUGCUCCGGCGCGUGGGCGGCCACGGGCGGAAAGCCUGGAAUGCUGGGCAUUUUUCUACUACUACCACGGAUCAGGAGGCCGGUCUGCUCGGGCACAUGGCCGGCCGCCCCGAUUCAGCACGAGCACAUGAAAUGAAUCCUCCUGUUCUCAGCCGCGUCACGGUCGACUCCAUAGUGCCACGACGGGCUUGCCUUUCCCCGUCGACCAUGGCCGCCGAAUCGAAGGUGCAGACUGUUGCUAGAUGUUGGGGCUUGUAUAAUAAAGCAACAGGAUGCGGGAGCACAAGGUCUGCAUCCGCGUAAUGUGUGAUGAGGGCGAGCACAUGCCAGGCGAGCCGAGCUGAGCGAUUAAUCUAUCUUGGUUCGGUCGCUCCAGAUUGGAUCCUCGGUGCAGGCAUGUGCGAGGCAAUCACAUUUUCCGAACUGGGCUCCUCCCCUUUCCAUUACGUUCAUAACGAAAAUACAAUGUUUUUCCAACCAGAAACAUAUUGAAGGGAAAGGAAAGAAGCGGGCUCGUGACAAUACCAGGAAACCCGUCAUCUAUGCCUGUCAUCAUCAGGCAUGUGCGAGGCAAUCACAUGGGCCGAUAAUGGUAGUGUUUUUUUUUUUCCUUUGGUUAUAAGCUGGGCGUGACAUUUGGCGGCGCAAAAGUCAAGAGCAGAGCAGAUAGGAGCGCGUCGUUGGUUGGUGCGUACACAUGCAGGCCACUACACUGCAUCUGCAAUGCUGCCGGGAUUAUACUACUAACAACUGAAACAAUCAGGCAGGCAGUCAUGGAGCCGGUCGGUCAGGUAUCUUAUGAUUUGGACCGAGGGAUUUGGUUGCAUGCAUGUCAACCGUGACGUGUGUAUGGAUCCAAUUCCAUAUCCAAUGCAUCGCUCAACAACCAACGGAAUUGCAAGCAGUGUGAUGAUACUGUUGGGACAGAAGCUGGACGCGUGGAUCCACGGUACGUCGGUGUUUCUUGCCAGUUUCCUCUCCUGUAAGAGACGGAUGGCAGCUUCAACAAAGAAACUUUAACAGGUGGAUGGGGGUAUAUCAUACGGGACCAUGAAAGGGAUGUCGUGGUUGCUGCUGCGGGACGGCUGGAUCAUGUCAAUGAUGCGCAUCCAUGCUAUCCACAAGGCACAAGAGCUGGGCAUUGGCAACACAGUGGUAGAAACAGAUGCUCUUCUGCUUGUCUCGGCGAUCAAGACCUCUAGCUAUGAUCUUGCACCAAACGGUGCUCUGUUUAAGGAGAUCAAAGCUUUCUCUUCUCUAAAUUUUAUUUCUUUCGACAUUGUUCAUCGUCCACGGGUAUGUAAUAAGGUUGCAGACGUUCUUGCGCUGCAUGGGUCGAAGAUGGUGCUUGCGCCCCAAGCCGUAUGGCCGGGUCUUGCUCCUACCUUUGCCUAAGUUCUCGUUGCCAGCGAUUCUGCUUGACGCGGUGAUGAAUGGAAUGAAAUAUUCCCAGUUAAAAAAAAAGAGAUGGAGCGGGUUUUUUUUUAACGGCGUGGUUGAAUUAUUUGAAGGAGCGACUGAAAAUCUGCGUUGAUCUCAAAGUGAAGACGCUCGAUGACGAGUGAAAGCAUUACGUCAUAGCAGGGUACAAAAAUAAUUCUAAGCAAAAUCAUAGGUAAUUCUUAUUUGACACUCAUUGCAUCAAACUUUCGCCAAAACGCACUGUAAAUGCGCGGCCCGAUUAGUUGUACCAUAAUUUAUAGGUAUCCAGUUUUAGAAACCUUCUAAAAUGUUUCUUCACCUGUCUGUACCGGCUCUCUUUCGGAUUCUAUCCAUUCUUUAUUUCUGCUAUUUUAUUUAAAAAAUAUUCAAAGCUUAAAGAAAAUUAUUCAAAAAUUCAAACUAUUUAUAUACGUUCAAUAUAUCAAAGAAUGUUCUCAAUGUUUUAAAAUGUUCAUGUUCAGAUUUUUUUUUUUAAAUCACAGUUCAGACAAAUGUUCAAAUAUGAUAGUCUGGUACCAAAAACCUUUUUUUUUUGUGAAUCAUAGUGCCAGUUGUUGGCCUGAACUUUUUUUUAGUUUAGCUCUUUUUAGGUAACGUAGAAUUCAUUUUUUUAAAACUCCACAACUUCAUUAAACAUCUAAAAUGUCUUGAAUAACACGGUUGAGUUAUCUGAAGGAGCGAACGAAAAAAUCUGUCAGUUGUUGAUCUUAAAAUGAAGACAUUGGAUGACGAGUGAAAACAUACGUCGUCGUAUGAUAAUUCCUAUUUAACACUUGUUGCAUCAAACCUUCACCAAAGCGCACAGAGCAGAGAGAGCGAACAAGGUAAGUGGACUGCUCAAUUUGUUUUACACACAGUACGAACGCUCAUAUAUACGCACAUAUACUCAACAUUAAUGUACAUUCGAAAGACGGAGAUGACACAUCACUUUAAGAUUGACGAAAUCGCCCAGAAGCCUUUCCAUAAAUUUAGUUGUGCCAUAAUUUAUAGGGUUCCAGUUUCAGAAACCUUCUAAAAUGUUUCGCUUUUGCUUAUUUGCCUUUGGCUCUUUGCAAUUGUUAUAUUUACUGGUUUGUACCGACUUUUUUCAUUGUUUUGUUUUCUGUUAUUUUCCUUAAAAAAACUUCAAAACUUACAAAUAACUGUUCAAAAAUCCAAUAUAUAUAUGUAUUUUCUUUAAAUUUCCAAAGCUUCAAAAAAUAUUUGUGUUUUUCAAAAAAUAUUUGAAAAUAGGAAAAAAAUGUUCAUGUCCACAUUUUUUUAAAAAUGUUCAAAAUAAAAAAAAAACAAAUAUGAGAAUCGGGAACAUGUAACCAUUUUUUAGGAAUCACCGUGUCAGUUGUUGGUCUGAACCCUUUUUGUAAGAUCUAGCUUUUUCUAGAUAUCGAAGAAUUCAGAUUUAUCUUAUAACUCCACGUUUAUUAAACAUCUAAAACGUCUGUUACAUGAAUUAAAGAAGAAAGCCGAAUAUGUGCACCAACUGCUAGAGUAACUGCAGCUCUGGUUAUUCAUGUGCUCCGAAGUUUGUCUCCUGUGCUUCAUGCGCAAUUUGUGAAGUUGCAAACUGAUGCCACCUUGCUUGGAUAUCCUUAGCGAUCAUGGAUGACGAUCCCAGAAACGGUUCCCUAAGAUGAUUCACUAUAGCUAAACAGUAUGUUGCAACUCUGAACUCUUGAACAGCAUGCAUGCGUCUCCAAGAUUUCAUUAUCCCAGAGGUCCGUUGAAGAUAGAACUCGAGCACAUAGGGGCGCGUCGUCAUACACAUGCAGACCACUACACUACAUCUGCAAUGCUGGGAGCAAAUAAAAAUAAAAAAUACUAGUAUAAUUGAAUCAAUCAGGUAUCUUAUGAUUUAGACCAAGGGAUUUGGUUGCAUGCAUGUCAACUGUCAUAUGUAUGGAUCCAUAUCCAAUGCAUCGCCCAACAACCAACGGUGUAGCAAGCAAUAUGAUAUGGUAAUGUUACAAAUCUGAAGUCAGAUUCUUAAGCGUGACAAAUCGAAUGUUUUCAUUUUUAAAUUUUGUUGACGUGACUACGUGAGGAUACGAAAUUUAGUUUAGGAGCAAGACAAUUUUCCGACAGAAAAAUAAACUGAGAUAGAUUUGCCACGUUUGCCAACUAAAUUUUCUAUCCUCAACAAACACAAAUUGCCAUAAAAAAAAUUCAAUUUGUGAUGGUCAAAAAUCAAACAUCAGAUAUGUAGUGGAGUCCAUAUGAUACUGUUCGGACAGAAGCUCGAUCGACGAUACAACGAUGUAGUGCCGGAGCAUGUGUCCUCUCAUGCUAGGGACACAUGGGUUGAACUGCUUGGAGCCAAUCAUCGUGUCAGUUGUUGGGUUUAGCUUUAUUUAGGUAUCAUAGAAUUUAGCUUGGCUACAGUGCUUCGCUAAUUUCGUUGGCGGCUCGAAUCAACGGCAUGGAAAGAAGAGUGCUCCUAUAUGAUGCUUACUGCAUCAUAUAUAUAGUUGCACUGACGCACAGGCACACGGCAUAGACCGGCGACCUAGUUCAGGUACGGUGAUAUUUCUUGCUGAAUGUGUUUACGGGAGUGCCCAGUCCAUGGGUACCCUCUCAUCUGGCUUCCAAGUGGACACUCCUGAGGCACGCGGGAGUGUUUGUGGCGCCACAUGUUGCGUUUUAACGUUGUUAAUCUAGUUUAUGUUUCCCUAGGUUUUAUAUUUUCCUGUUUCUGCUCUUUUUUAUUAUUAUUCUUUUUUCGUUUGUGCUUUUCCAUCGGAAGCAUAUUCGCGCUCACGUGUUUUUUACUCCCUCCGUUCCUAAAUAUAAGUACAUCUCCUCUGAAGUGUACCACUCCUCUUAAGGAAAUAUUUGUACCAGAGGGACACACGGAGAAAGGUAAGGUUGUGAGUGGAUCGGCCACUAGGGGUCCGUCUGCUCACAACAAGACAACCGAAUUCAUGCCGCCAUCCUAUGUACUACGCAAAUCAAAGGAAGGAAAGGUCUAUGCUAAAUUCGUUGGUCCCCGUAAUGCAUUUCGAUUCUAUGCUAUUUGGGUCCCUAAGACUCUUGUAACUAAUGUGAAAGGCUCCAUGACAAAAUGGGUACCUCAAACCAAGUCUUAAUUCUUUACAGGCUAUUUUCUCCGGUGGAGCAAAAUGGGUGAUCGACAGUGGAUGCACCAAUCAUAUGACCGGAGAUAGUAACUUGCUCUAUGACUUCAUGCAAGCCAUUCGACCAUACAUGAGCAUUGUAUUUGGUGGAGGGUCGAAAGGGCAGGUAAUUGGGUUGGGCAAGGUGGCAAUCACUAAUGACAUGUCUAUUGCAAAUGUCAUGCUUGUUCAAUAUCUUCAACAUCAUUUACUUUCAGUUCGCCAAUUGGCUUCCGUCGGUUAUGACACACUAUUUGGACUAACGGAUGUGAAAGUCUUUAAGAGAGACACUCUUGAAGUGGCUUUUGUUGGAGAGUUGGAUAGCAACCUUUACACGGUUGAUUUCUCGAAAGAGAGCACUUUCCAUACAACUUGUCUAAUGGCCAAGGCCGACAUGGGAUGGUUGUGGCAUCGCCGGCUCGCCCAUGUUGGCAUAAAAAUCUUCAAAAUCUCUUAAACGGUAAUCACAUCCUUGGACUAACAAAUGUAUCUUUUAAGAAAGAUCGUGUGUGCAGUGCAUGCAUAGCUGGGAAGCAACAUCAAUCAAGACAUCCACUCAAGAACGUUGUAUCCACUUCAAGGCCGUUAGAGCUCCUUCAUGUGGAUCUAUUCGGGCCUCCUUCAUGGGCAAGUCUUGGAGGGAAAAAGUAUAGCCUAGUCAUUGUUGAUGAUUACUCAAGAUAUACAUGGGUGUUCUUUCUCAAGUCCAAGGACGAGACAAAGGUCACUUUCAUUGAUUUUGCUAAACAAGCCCAGCGGAAGUUUGACAAGGACAUUAAGGCAGUAAGAAGUGAUAAUGGCUCUGAGUUCAAGAACUACACCAUAGAAGAAUUUCUGAGUGAUGAGGGGAUUGAACAUCAGUACUCCGCACCCUACACUCCCCAACAAAAUGGUGUGGCAGAAAGGAAGAACCGGACACUUGUGGAAAUGGCAAGGUCCAUGUUAGAUGAAUACAAGUCACCACAUAGCUUUUGGGCUGAGGCCGUCAACACAGCAUGUCAUGCAUCAAACCGGCUCUUCCUCCGAUCAAUAUUGGAGAAAACUCCGUAUGAGCUCCUAACUAGGAACAAGCCCAAUGUUAAGUACUUUCGUGUGUUUGGAUGCAAAUGCUUCAUCCUCAACAAACGGGAACGGUUAGGCAAAUUUCAAUCCAAAACAACUGAGGGGAUUUUUGUUGGCUAUGGAUCAAACUCUCACGCCUACAGAGUCUACAACAAAUCCACUGGAUGUGUUAUAGAAACUUGUGACGUGACGUUUGAUGAAUUUAACCGCUCCCAUGGGGAGCAAGUUGAUCUAAAUGAUGCAGGUGAAGAAGACUCCCCACAAGAUAUCUUAAACAUGGGUGUAGGUGCACUUUUGCCUANNNNNNNNNNNNNNNNNNNNNNNNNNNNNNNNNNNNNNNNNNNNNNNNNNNNNNNNNNNNNNNNNNNNNNNNNNNNNNNNNNNNNNNNNNNNNNNNNNNNUGUCUCUCUCGGAGUUUCGGUUAUUCCUAACCCUAACUCUCUACUUGUGUUAAUCCUUAUUACAUACUUGUAUUUGCUUAUUGUUUACCGCUUGCCUUGCUUCACUCCUAAUAGCUUACUCUUUGUCAUAGCAAUUAUUAGGCUUACACUUAUAUUCCGCACUUUAGCCUAAAAUUGCUAAGUAAUUGUUAAAAUUUGGAUUUGUACCUAUUCACCCCCCCUCUAGGUCCAUCUCGAUCCUUUUCACUAUGGCUCUGGGCGGCCUUGACCGUGCGGUGGUCCACUCGUCGUGCGGUAAAGAGCUGCGCCAACCAUAGGGAUGACGAUGGUGGGUAUUUCCGUGAGGAAUUGGCAACCGUAGGAAGAGAAAUCAUAUCUCUUUGGUGAUUUCGCAAACCAGCCCUUGGGUUGUGCAUGAAUCACGUAAAAGUCCUAGCACUUUUUGAGUUAGCCCUCACGCUUAUCUAAAUUUGCUGCUAAGCCUCUGGCUUAUUGAAAAUUACAAAUGAGCCAUCAGGCUCAUGGGACUUUGAGGUUUAGCCCUCAGGCUUGCUUUCUUCAACAUUAUAACCAUAAGGUUAUUGGUAUUUGUGUUUUAUGCCCCGAGCAUUCAGAGCAAAUAUACAUGGUAGACUACAAGGUCUUGCUGAAUUGCAUAAUAAUUGGUUAUGCAUCAUUUUACAUCGUCUAAAAUGACGGUUUGAGGCCCCAAGUCCUCAUAUGUGUUGCACAUGUAUGUUAAUACUUUUGCAUUUAUUUGUAUUACAUUAGUAAUACUGUUGCAAAGCAAUAUGUUGACUACAUUAUUCACAUAGAAUAUGGAAUUUGCUUGCAAAUUUGGGGAACAUAAGAUAGUCAAGUGUAUGAUACUGUCUGACUAUGUCAAAUGUACACUUGUCACAAUAAAUUGACAAAUAGUACCCACUGCUUAAUUGUAAAUUAUUCAAUGUUAUUGUGAGGUCUAUAUUAUGUCGUUUCGACAUAAUGACCACCUUCAAUUUUUGCACACAACUUAUGGAUUGUUUUAUGGCAACGAAUUAACUUUCGUUCACAACUGUGAGGUCUACACCACCAUGUGGUGAUUACCUUCAAUGAGUUUUAACUAACAUAAGGUUGUGAGAAGCUCCAUAAGAUUGACGUCUACACUACUCAGUAGUGAUUAUCUCCAUGUGUUCAAAGCAAAGUGAAGGCACAAAACUGAUGACAUAGUCAUUAUGAGGCCUACACCAUUGUUGUAUACCUUCAUGAUGUUUUUCCAAAUAAUAGUCAAGUUCAUAGAAUUUCUCAUUGGUUGUGACUAUAGUGUCACAUACUCCAUCUGGAGAAGAAUCCAAUGCAUUAGUGGCGAUUAUGCUACAUGUUGUGCUAUGAAUGAAGAGAGUUAUGCAAAAUAUUUGCAUAUUUUGGUGAUUACCUUCUAUGAGUACACAACUUAUGAGAUGUGAUCAUACCAACGAAUUAAAUUUCGUGCACAACUGAGAGGUUUAUGCCAUUUCAUGGUAAUUACCUUCAUGUGUUUUAAAUAACAUAAGGUUGUGUAGAGGCUAUGAUUGACUAAAAUAUCCAUAAGAGUGAGGCACCACUACGUGGUUGAUUACCUUUGUGUUUUAUGGAAUUAAAGAUUUAUUCUUUAUGAGGUGACUAUACCUUCAAUUUGAAGAACUACAUCAUAGUGUGAUGAUUAUCUUCUUGUGAAGGCUUACUCAUGAAUCACUGAGAAUCACCAUGAUCAUGAUUAUGCUUAGUCAUAGCAUUUUCAUUGUACUUAAUUUACUAAAGGUAAAUUAAUGCAUGAGCAUUCAUGCAAUAUAUGGCGAACCUUUUUCGAAAGGAAAUGCGAUGUGAUGACAUAAGGUGGAAGUAACUAUUGAAAAUGGGUCAUGGACAUUAAUGAUUUUGUCGACCCGUGGCCUUGUCACCAUAGAAAUUCCACCUACACAGAAUGUCAUGGCUAUUUAUAAAUAGCUGAAAGGCGCAGAUUUGCAUUUAUGUGACAUCGCAAUGUCUCGGUUCUGAAACUGAGUAUUUAAAUGGAUGAUGAAUAUCCAUUUGCCCUUCGGGACUACCUUAGGGAGAGAGAUAUUGUGAUAAGCAUCACAUGAAUGACUAUUCAUUUAUGUUCAAGACUUGAAGUCCGUUGAUGCUUAUAAUUCUGUUGUCUAUAAAUCAACACUAAGUUGAGAUUAUGUGAUAAGGCAGUCUCAGAUCUUGAUCUGAUUGUAUGUCCUUACUGCACUUUACAUCCCCCUAUGAUGGUAAAAUAAACACCAUCUUCAUUUCAGGGGUAAAAAUAUGAUGACCUUCUUGUGAAGAAUCAUCUGGUACACCCCAAUGGGUGCUAUAUCAUUACCUGAAAUUUGUGCUAGUGCUUUCAGUACUAAGAAAUAUGUGGUUAGAGAACCACGAGGAGUUGAAAGUGAAGUGGAAAAAAGAGACAAGCAGAAAUGGAGUGUAUAUCUCACAAAGGCAUGUGUCAUUUAGAUAAAUGAUCACAAUGAAAACUCCCAAUUUUGUCAAAGGGGUGAUUGUAUGAAAUAUCGUAUUAAUGAUUACCAAACUUUUAAGUUUUUGGUUGAAUCAUGUCACUGACUCAUUGGAGAAGGCGAAUGAAUUUAAUGGGAUAAGUUUGAACUUCUAUUUCAAAUGGACAACCAGAAAAUAUUCUGAUGCAGUAGAAGGAGAAUGCACUCCUCUACAUUGAUGAUAUGCUUGUGGAAUGACAUUCCCAAGAUAUUUUGGAGAUCUUAUGUAGUCUCCUAGUUAUCCCAAUAUAUCAUUAGCCCAUAAUUGUACUACUACAGGUGGUAUAAUUUGCAACAUCUUGUCCACGGGACAUGAUAGUUGUGAGGAAUUGAGUGUACGAAGAAUUCGUACAUAAUAUUGUUGCGUACACAAUAAUUUUUCCUCCUUUACCUGUCUGGUAUGAGGACUGUUAGAAAAAAUAUUGAUAAUUCUGUUGGCCACAACAAUGUUGCAAUAUUCGUGACAAUCGAAAGAUUUUAUGUGCACUACAUGUGCCAUAGAGGAAUUAAUUUUAAGGCACUCUCACCUUAAAAUUUGAAUGUGCCACUCAUUAUUCUUGAAUGGAUCCAGGAAUGAUGCAAAAUAUUCAACCAUUGGCUGGGUUAUUUUGGUACUUCAUGGUAUUCAUAGACACAUCUAGAAGAUGGUCUUAGGUGUGUAUCAUCCACACAAAACCAUGUGUUUACUGAAUUAAGUGCUCAAAUUGACGAAUUUGAAGCAAAUGAUUAUAUGCAUGGGAUAAUUCCAUUGGAAUGGAAAUGUCGUUGAAUUUGAUUCACGAGAAAUCCAUGGUCAUAUUUGGUACGUCGUGUACCUACCCAGAAUGGUGUGGCUAGAUCUCUUGUCAAAAAGAGUUAAGUUGUUGUGGGAAAUCACAAGGAGUUAAGAGGCAUAACGAGAAUUCCACGAAUGAUAUCGAUUCAAGAAAAUCGUAUAUUGAAAGUCUACAUAUGUCGACAUAAAUUUCUUCUUGAUAAUUGCAGAAAUCCUUUUGGGCCCUGAACCAAAAUCCAUGGAAAGUGUUGUUGACACUUAUAUUGGUUCAAAUGAAAAGAAGCAAUUAAGAAGAGUAGCACUCGCUCAUCAAAAGAGAGGUGUUUAUCAUAGUAAAACCUGCUCCUCAUAAGUAUCUUCCUCAGUGAAGAGAAGUGAUUUUUCGUUCAGAAACGAAAUAGAUGAGGUGGUGAGAAAGCGAGGCUUGUAGCACAUGGGUUUCCGCAUAGACCCAACAUCAGUUAUGAUGUAGCAUACCUUCUCGGUAUGAGUGGAAUUAUGUUUCGAUACUGAAUUGGCAGUACAAAUCCAUGUGGUUGAUGUAUGUAAAGGCUACAUACUCACAUGGAUCAUUCAGUUUGGAUAAAUAUAUAUUGAAGUCAUGAAAUGGCUUAAUAUUCCGAAUCCAAUGAUAAGUUGCAACAUGUGUGAAGCUUCAGAAGUCAUCCUAUGACUUUGAACAUGUCGGAUAGUUGUGUGGUACAACCGACUAAAUGAGUUACUCCUCGAUAAGGAUUACUCUGACACUAAUGAUUGUUGAUGUGUAUUCAUGAAGAUAUCCUUAAUUGGAUUUACAUCAUGUCAUUGAUGUGGAUGAUCUUAUUAUCAAUGUCUAUACAUGACAUAUUAGAUACACAUAAUCAUUUUGAGACGGAUAUUUGGGUCAAACCAAAUGGUGCUAAGUUUAUAGCUUGAGCACAUUCCCUAAGGAAUAAAUGUAUGUCAGUGUUCAUAUAUCUAGAAAUAUUGAAAAAGUUCAAUAUGGAUAUAUCUUAUCAAAGACACAUAUGGUCAUAUUAUACCUGGCAUGGGACACAAGCCCAUUCAAACCUAGGGGAGAUGGUAAAGUGAUAAUGGACAUGAAGUUCCGUAUCUGAGUACCAUUGGAGCACAUAUAUAAAUUGCAAAGUAAGUCAGGCCUGACACUAUAUUUGUUGGCAAUUUAUUGAGAGUGCAUCCCCAGUAAAAGGUAUAAUGGUUGGUGUAAGGAAUAUCUUGAGAUAUGUCCAAGACACAAAAGGUCUUGAUUAAUUCCAUUGAGAAAAUCAAGAUGGGACCAUGGUAUGAUAUCCUGAUAGUGGCUGAUAAUUUGAUCCCAACAAUGCCAUAUCAAAGACUGGAUUUAAUGGAAGAGUAUUUUGAGGGAAGCCUUCAAAAUAGACUCUAAAUGAGUCCUUCCUAUAAUCAUUCUGCCAUAACUAUGUUUGAAGCAUGACAAGAUAUACAUGUAUUUGCAGAAUGACUAGUCACAUGUGAGAUCAUGUGAAGAUUCAUUGGAAUCAAUUAUCAUUAUCUACCAAGAUAAUGUCACUUGUAUUUCUUAUGGGUUAUAUUUAUCCUCGCAAAUUAUAGAAAUGUAAGAGGAUAAUAUGCAAACAAAUUAUGGUGAGGUUCAUAAUGUCUCUACCAACGUUUAUAUUCCAGAAUCGCAUUCGUGGAAUUGGUAUGAGACAACAUUGAUGUUUGCGAGGGGAGUAAAAUCCCAUGUUAUAACCUUUUGGUGAUCUUCAGAUCAUUCAUAUUGUACUCUUUUUUCCUUUAUGAAUUUUCCAAGAUGGUUUCUCAUAUAAGGUUUUUAACGAGGCAAUAUAAAUACAAGUGCGGAUGUAUGCCAUAUUGGUUUCUCCUUAUAUUUUUCCCACCGGGUUUUAAAGGAGUUUUCGAUGGCAUAUUAUUAUAAGGUUUCUCCUCAUUUUUUUCCACAGGGUUUUUGGAGGAGUUUUCAGUUUGCAAUAUACAGAUGACGAAUUGAUCAAGGGGGAGUGUUGAGAAUUAAACAUGUGAUCAAUUGUAUGGGAGGGAUGCCUCCGAGGAGGUGUCUGUUGGGGAAAGGUGUCUCCCUAACACACCCCUUCAUUUUGUAUAUAAGUGGGUCUUCCACAUUGCAAUAGAACUAAUGGAUCAUUUGGACUCUUCAGUUGUCUCUUUGCAUUCAUUCUACUAGGAGAUGUGAAGUGUGCCAGAGCAUUAACGGUAGCGCAGCCCUCAGGAGGGACCAUGGAGGAAGCUAGAUAGAUGCUUGGGGGUACAUAUGUACGAGACCUCCUAUAUGCCGCUCGCUACGGCAGUUAGUCGGUCCUAGCUGGGCCAACCCAUUAGCAGCACAGAGCAGCGAGUGGGAGGAAUAGGCACUGUAGAGUCCCCCCCCCUCUAAAAAUAGGGUACCAUAGCGCCGUGGAAGGUAAUGCAGCAAACCAUCACUGUAGCAGACGUUGGAAAUCCUAUUUACUUUAUUUUGAACGAAAAUUAAGGUUUUGAACAUUUUAUUUGGAAAUUAUUUUUUUUGAAAUUUUGAACUUUUUAAAAAUCACAAACAUUUUUUAAAUACAUGAUCAAUUAUUUAAUUUUUUAAACAUUCUUUCGGGAAUUACAAGUGUUUUUAAAAUCGCAUUGAACAUAUUUUUGAAAGUGAUAUUUUUUGAAAAAUGAAAAUAAAACGAAAAAAUAAUACAAAUACUGAAAAACCAAGAAGAAAACCGGAAAACCCCGUGAAGAAAACAGAAAAGAGAACUGGUUCAGGAAAGAAGAAUGUUAAUAAUACGGAUAAACACCCGGGAUAAAUGCUUUUUUCCAGUUUAGAGUUUAGAAUUUGGUUUAGAACAUUUUUUUGCUUUAGUUUCCUAUUUUCAUUAUUUAAUUUGUAAUUUGUUUUAAAUAUUCAUGCAAUUUUAAAGUCAUGAACAUUUGUCCACAUUGGCAAACAUUUAUUAGUUUCCUUUUUUAAUUUUUUUAACAUUUUUGAAAUUUAGAAACAUUUUCAAUUAAUCGAACUUUUUUGGGUUUCAUGGCCUUAUUUAAAAUAUGUUUAAAUUGAUCGCCAUGCGCUCGCCCGCUGGCGGAUGUAGUGGACGUGGUGGGUCGCGGUCCGUGCUGAGAUUUUAUUCCAGCCCGUAUACCAUUGGAGAAUAAGAAAUGGGCUGAAGAAAACAAAUAAAAUAAAAGCCCAGCAAUCCAGUGGCCUCGCGAGAAAAAAAAAACCCCGGCGAGUCGCGAUUCACCUUUGCGGUUCUUCCCUCUUCUGAUUUUACUCGCCGCCAGCCAGCCCUGCCGCCAGCCGCCGGGCACGCCUCGCCGGCGACUCGCUGUCGCCGGAUUCCCAGAGGCCCAGGAGCCCGGGAUGGAAGCUCAGAUUAGAGAUUAAGCUCCGAUUUGCGGAUUAUAAGCAGCGCGGGACAGGGGACAAAGAUGGCUGCUGCCGGCGCGAAGGCGGUGCCGCCCACCUUGCUGUCGCUGUGCUUGCAGGCGGUCGCCGCGCAUCUCACCGCCGACGCGGCAGGCUCGGGUCGAUCCGGCGGGUGCGGUGCUCAUUUCGACGGGCUCGUCCAGGAGCUCGAGGAGGAGGAGGAGGAGGGUGGCGGCCACCUCGCGCCGGAGCAGGUCGCGGAGGCGCUGCCUUGGGAGCUUCUCCACCAGCUGGCGUCCUAUCUGCCGCCGUUCGCUCUCGAACUGCUCCAUCACGGCGCCCAUGUCCGGUACCCUACCCCUCUCCCCGUCCUUGCCUCCUCCCAUGGACCAUGGAUUGGAUGCAGUCUCUAUCUUCUUCCAUAUGUGGAGUACAGUGUAGUGUAUUCCUUCCACUCCUUUUAGUAUUUUCUUACAUUUUCAAAGAGAAAUUGGCUAAUCAUUUUGCAUUUCUGAUUGCCCAUCCUAGAUGCUGCUCUUCUGCUUCACUUACCGAUCGGUUCGGAGAGGCCGGCGGCAACAGACGUGGGACGAAACGUUCAAGGUGACGCUCAUUUGUACACUAAUGAGUCAGCUGCUGCAUUUGUUACAAGACGUCGGCCAAGAGAAUACUCCCUCCGUUCCUAAAUAUAAGUCUUUGUAGAGAUUUCACUAGUGGACUACAUACGGAUGUAUAUAGACAUACUUUAGAGUGUAUAUUCAAUCAUUUUGUUCCGUAUGUAGACAUGUAGUGAAAUCGCUUAAAAGACUUAUAUUUAGGAACGGAGGGAGUACUCUUCAAGUAUUUGACAGUGUUGAUGCUCGCAGGUGUGAAGACUUCAACACUGCAUGGCAGGCAUUGUUCGAAUUUCGCUGGCCCCUCCACGAUAACACUGGACAUGAUGACUUGGUUACUCUAGACUGGCAGCAGAAAUACUGGGAAAAGCAUCUGCAAGAGUGUGUUAUCAAACAGUUACAGAUGGGUUAAUCGUUGAUUAAUCCAGUCUGGACUGACUUUUGUCACUUCUUUUUACCCUUCCACAGGUGCCUGGAUGAAGCUGCAGAGGCCGCGUCGCUUCCUUCAUUUCGUGGGCAUAUUGGUGAGCUAAGUAUGUCAGGUGAAUAUAUAAAACCCCUUCCUCCUUCAGUAUUUGUUAUGCUUGACAUUGGUUGGUUGUUUACUCGCCAUAGUGAACAACUAUCAUACCAACAUGAGGCCUUGAGCUGAUUUGUUUCCUAGCCAAUAACAGCUUUAAGUUAUGCUUGCAGUUAGUUGUAACUGCAUUAUUGCACCUGCAGUAGCUAUUGAAAUUAUCUUCAAGUUUAACUAUAAUCUAUGCAGAUAAAACCAUGAGUUGCGUUUACCUCAGUGAGAACAUAGCUCAGCAGUAUUCGAGACUGUCAUAUCAUUGGACCAUACUUGGAUCCUAUGCAAGGUGCGAUCAUAUUUGUCAUUUGUUUGUCAUACCCAGUUCCUCUUUAACUCAUAUUUAACCUUUACAUGGAUAACUGCCUGGUGCUAGUGAUUUAUAUUCAAUUAAAGAAACCCCCACUCGUAAGUAGUUAGAGAUCGGUAAUAAUCUGGUGGGGAUCUCUAGUCAUGUUAUGCAAUGUUAGUUUUUCCAGUUUAAUUACAACAUGGACCUAGCUCAGAUCAGGUUGCUUCCAGCAUCCUUCAAGAACUAUGUAGAGAAUAGAUUUUCUUUGUUCUUACUAUAGUAAUUUUAACUUAUUUUCAGGUGCUUGAGAUUUCAAAAUGUGCUUUGCACGGCUGAAAUUUGUGUAAGUGCUCAAGCAGUACCUUUUUCCUUUAUUUUCCCACUGUCUAUGAUUAAUUAUCCACGGUCCGUAGCAUGUGUUGUUCAAUUGUGCAUGUGUUGUUUAAUUGUGUAUUUGUAUUGGGAAAAGUCAUGGAUGAAUCCAUGGGCAUAUGAACCCACUUUGGAAAACCCAUUUUUAAUUGCCCGAAAAUUAUAAAAAAAGUUCCAUGCAUACAUCUUCACAUUCUAUGUGCGCACAGAAAAUUUCGUGGAAACACAACUUUUUGUUCGGCCUGUGCAAAAAAGACAAAAAAAUAUGUCAUCUAACGCUAUUUAGGAGCACUGAAAUUUGUCUUUUUUGCAGAGGCACAACAGGAAGAGUUUCUUCCACAAAACUUUGUGUCGGGCACACAUGUUACGAAAAUGUAUGUGUGGAAUUUUGUUUCAAUUUUUUUGACAUUUUAAAACGCAUUUAAAAUGCAUUUUUAGAAAGUGGGUUCAUAUGCCAAUGGGUUCAGUAUGUCCACACUCAUCUGUAUUGCUGUUAUUUUGUUGGUAUUUUAUUAUACAUGUACCGCUCCAUCAUCCAUACAACAACAAAUGUGCACUCAAAUUCCGGAAAAGUUGUCCUUCGUGCUAUAUAUGUUUGCAUGUGUAUGGCAUGAAAAAUGUGAAUUCAUUGUGUAAAGUUCAAACUUAAGACAGUUAUGGUUGACUGCUAGAAAUCCGUUGUUUUUCAGGACAUGUUGCAACAUAGCAGGCUAGAAACUUUGGUGUUUGUAAGAAUCAUAUCAGAGCUUGAGGUAAUAUUAUGCCGGUAAGAUUAUGUUUGUUGUUGCAUACAAUAGCUUUAGGGAACAAAAAUGCAGAGCCAUGGGCUGCAACUCAGUUAAAAGUAACAUUAUGUUCCAUAGUUCAAGUUCCCGUGUCACGUAAACUAUAUAUCUUUGUACCAUAAGAGACAUAGGGAAAGUUAAUGUUGAGGCAGCGUUGUUAAGAAGCAUGCCAAAGAAGAACUGACUAGAAAAAAAAAUUAUGCAGCAGAUAAGCUACACACUUGUAGUAUCCUUUACGGCAUGAUGGCUCGUAUUGUUGCUUUGCUCUGUUUUGUCAGCUGAUACUAAGCUAAGAGUGGUCCAAUUUUUUAAGCCCCUUUUCAAUUUCCACUGACAGGUGAAUGCUGUAUGCCGGCUUCUGAGCUGCCAUGCUAGGACACUGUUAUCUCUUGAAUUUAUCCACUGCCAGCUUUAUCCUGCAGUCAUGGAUAAAGUUUGCACUAGUCUUUACCAGCCAGGAUCCCAAAACUACAAGAUCCAGUCCUUCAGUAUUAAAUCAUCUCGCAUAAGUGAAAGCAAGUCUCUAACCACCUCUGCUGGUCUAUUAAAUUUUCUGUCAUGUGCAAAGUAAGUUGCAUGUCCUCUUAUUCCACCUUCGUUUUAUUUUUGAACAGAUGUCGGGGAAUAGCCCGAGGAACCCAACCUUUUUUCCCUUUAUCAUUCUUUUUUAGCAAUUGUUGUUGCAUUAUUCUAUACAAUGGCACUCUAAUUAGAUGCUCAGUUAAUGAUUCCAUAAUAUAAAUUAGGGAGGAAAUUUUAUCCAGCCAUUUUAUGCAUUUUUCAUGAGAAUACUCUCCUAUUCUUCCCAUGUUGUAUUUGUUAGUUUAUGCUUCACAUAAAUUUUUAUUGAAGUAAAUACUCUCCCUGACACCAUGGAAAGAUUUAACACCAUUUUGAGGGUUUUGUGGAAUGGGCGCUGAUAGUUUGGCUGUUCUAGGUCCUUCUGAAAAAUCCGGAUAUGACCGUGGGUUUAACCGGAAACUGAAAAGCGGUGCCAGAUCCAGUCAUGUUGAACUUUUACAUGUUUUACAUGAAAAAAUAGUUUGCAUUAUUUUAUUCAGAGUAUCAUGACACACCCAUGGACGAUAUGGUCAUUCAUCUUAAAGCAGAGAGCAGUAGAAUAGAUUAGAAUGCAAAUAAAAAAAAGAGGCAAGAAUAAGAGUAACGAUAUGUAGAAGUGAAAAAAGAAAUCACCUAUUCAUCCUGUCAUUCAAUUUGUCCUGGUAACCUCAUGCCUGCAUCUCCAACCUAGUCCGCUAGUCGGUUGUUUGGGAUUUAAGAUUGGUAUAUGCAACAAACUGGUUAUGGUGCCUGUCUGUAAGCAUAAAUGGCAUGAUGUUGCUACUUAAUUACUGAUUGUUUGCCAAAAAGAUUGGGUGCACAUUAGCAUUGUUUUAUUCUUACUAUUGUUCAGGUCUCUGCAGUUGCUGUCAUUUAAUGAUGCUAAGAUGCAGCCAUCAUUUGCUAAGAUAAUUAUUCGUACUCUCCUUGAAGCUUCCUCCGGUUUACACACGCUUGACAUGUCAGAAAACAAUGUGGGUUCACACAAGAAUCUUUUCUUCUUUGAUAUCUGUUUCUUGGACCCAAAUAAUCUCUCUUUAUAGUUUGCAGGCUGGUUUUCUACUGCAGACAGAAGUUCUACAAGUUUAUCAUCAGCGUUGAAGUCAAACACAUCCCUGAACUCCCUGACUGUUCUUAACCUAAGGUAUUACCUGUUGCCUUUCAGCACCCGCCAAAUCGUCAUAAUUAGAAACCUUUAUUACCACUUCCUUUUCGAAGUUGGCAUGACUUGUGUAUUAACAUAUCAAUUUGUCAUGUCAGGGGAAACAAUUUGCAGGAGGGUGACAUGGAGGAUGUAUGCAAAAUUCUAGCAAAGAUGUCUAAUUUGAGAAAUUUAGAUAUAAGCGACAAUCCAAUCACUGAUGUGGGUAUCAGGUAGUCAUCAACAUUGCACAUGUAGUGUCUGCUGCUAAUUGUAGGCAGUAGAGUUAUGCUAUAUUGCUAUCUGUUUGUCUGUUUGUCUUCAGUUUUCUCUAGAUUUGCAUCAAUCAUGAAUGGAUGCAUAAUACUUCCUCCGUUCCUAAAUAUAAGUCUUUUUAGGCAUUUCACUAUGGAUUACAUACGGAUGUAUAUAGACAGACUUUAAAGUGUAGAUUCACUCAUUUUGCUCCGUAUGUAGUCCGUAGUGAAAUCUCUAAAAAGACUUGUAUUUAGGAACGGAGGGAGUAGUUCUUUAUGCCUGUGGUCAACUUCAAGACAAUUAUUCCUUGUAGACUCUGUUAUGUCCUAUCAGUAAGCACUAAGGAGUUACAUAUAAACUUGCAGAUACCUUAUGCCUUUCCUUGAAUUGGCUCUUCAAAGGGGGAAUCCACUUCAGAGAUUAAGAGCAGAGAACUGUGAUUUGUCCAGUAUCGGUGUGACUAAACUUCUUGAGUGCCUCACAUCGAUUAAUAAACCACUUGACAUGCUGUCUAUAGCAGAUAAUCAUCUUGGGAGGUAAGUCCUUUCUCCCAGUGCAGAGUUUCUGUUGUUUCUUUAGCUUGGUUCACAUUUUGGACUAUGAUGAAUUUUCAGUUCUGUGGCAGCUACAUUAGUGAAAUUCCUGGGUUCACAUGUAAGGGAGCUAAAUGUUGAAGACAUCGGCCUAGGACCAAUAGGCUUCCAAAUACUUGAGGAAGCAUUGCCAAGGAAAGUAAAUCUCUCCCACAUCAACAUUAGGUAGAAUAAACUCUGCCCGACUCACAAUGAUGAAUGCUUGACGUGCAAGUUUCCGUAGUCACUUCAAAUUUUAUUUUGCAGUAAGAACCGCGGUGGGAUGCGUACUGCAUACUUCAUUUCCAGGCUGAUACUGCAAGCACCGAACCUUGUAUCAGUCGAUGCAGGAUCUAACCUUUUACCCCCUGAAUCGCUGGAAGUGAUAUGUAAUGCAUUGAAGCAAACAACAUGUAAGAAACACGCUUCUUCGUGUUCUCCUUAACUAUGUUCAAGGCCGUCCCUAAUGGGCAUGCACCAAGGAGAAUGGUCAAUAACCAGUGGGCCUGUUGCAGGUAACUUGGCGCGACUAGACCUGAUGGGCAACCUGCAAUUGUCGAGUGCUAUCUUUCCUGCAGUCUUCGAGUUCAACAAGCACGGAAAGCCAAUCCUGCUUGUUCCGUCGGAGCAAGGUAGCUGUGCACCCUACGAUGCCGACCCGUAAGCUGUAAGUAGCACUUAUUAUACUGAGAAUUAUGAAAGGUGUCUGUUAUUUUUCCUUUGCAAGUUUGGGUGAAACCUCCUAUUUGCAUGAUCAAGGGAUGCAUGACGCUUUUUGCUGUAGAAGUUGGAGAAAGUGCACAAAGACUUUCAGUUAAUAAAGCAAAGCUACUUGGGCAACCAGGAAAAGGAGGCUUAGACGUCGAUUGGGGCAAAUAUUUAUCAUCAUUCCUUCAGCAGAUCACACGUAGAAUGAAGUGAAGUUUAAUUCGAGAACCCAACCACGAGUUGGUUCAUGAUUGGUUCUAGGGGUGCAGGACGGCGUCCCGCAAAGUCCGGCAAAAACAGCCAGCUAGUACACAGCUAGUACAAAUUAAUGUCACACAGUUUAAGACUAUCCAUAAUGGGAGUAACAUAGGUGAUAUGUCAUGUGGGGCCAGACUUAUAGGCGCAAGGGUCCUGCACCUCCCUAAUUCUGUCCUAGUUUAAUUAUAGAGUCCUAGAUUUAGGUUCAAGAGUCUGGGUCUUAAGUUGGAAAGGUUUUGUCCCGAAGAAGGUUACCCUGCCAACCCCCAAUUAGAGUUGAAAUCUGUUCGUUUUUUAAUUGGCUACUUAUAGCCACCCCUAUGCGAUCAAUAAAGGAAGGCAGAAAAUAAUCUAUCUUCUCCCCUCGUGCACCUGCACCUCGGUGCCCCUCCUCACCUCCUUUCUUAACCAUAGGUCGGUGAGGGGUUCGCCCUCGUCCUCCAACCUUCCACGACCACAACCUCCGUACCAAUCCAACCCCAGCCCGUGACAUGGUAACGUCACGAAAAUUGCUUUUGGAACUCGGCCUCCAUGGUGGCCUUUAAAUUUGAAAUCCAAAAUUCAUGAAAAUUCAUAUUUUUACAUUUCAAAAAUUCUGAAAAAAUACAGAGAUAAGUGAGGGUGUAACACACAUGUGUGUAAAUUUUUAGAAAAAAAUAUGUUGAAAUGAGGCUUGUGCAAAAAAAACAAAUCUGAAGCUUUUUAACACAUGAUACUAUUCAUCGUCUCCGGCCAUGAAUUUAUUUUUUUGUGCCGAUCGUAUUUCAAGGUAUUUCAUCCUAAAAAUUUACACACAUAUACGUAACAUCCUUCUUUACUUGCAUAUUUUUUUCAGAUUUUUUUUAAACCGAAAAGUUUAAAAUUUGAUUUUAUUCAGAAAUUUUGAGCUCCAUGGAGCUAUGGAGCUCGGCCUCCAAACGUCCGUUCUCGUAACAUCACAUAUAUCUAAAAUAGAUGGUGUGACAAGUAUGAGGAGAGAUAUACAUGUGGUAACAUACUCCCUCCUAUCCUUUUUUACUCUAGAAUUGUCCAAAGUGAAACUUCGUAAAGUUUGAACAUAUUUAUUUAUAUGAAACAAUAUCAACAUCUGCAAUGCUAAGCUUUUACAAUACAAAAAUUAAAGUCAUGACGCUUCUAAUGAUAUUAAUUUCACAUUGUAAAUAUUGGUAUUUUUUCUCUAAAGUUGGUUAAACUUAACUAGGUUUGACUUUUAGACAAAUCUUAUAUGCGAACUAAAAAGGACGGAAGGGAGUAGUAUGUUAUUCACAUUAUGAGUAACAUCACCCCAAAACAAAAUGAGUUUAUAAUCUAAUAAAUGAAGUAUUGCAUGGCACCGUACAUAUGUUACUCCCCACAAUGACUAGUCUAAUCUUUCUAUAACUGACAUUUUAGUUUUGAAUAGGAAGCGGGAUGGUUCGGACGCCCUGCAGCCCUAAUUGGUUACAUGCCUGCUGGUUUUUGCAUGAAGUUUGAUCCGAGAGGAGGCACCCAGGUGGUCCAGACUGUUGAGAACGAGUAUUUAACCAAAAACUACCACACUUCAUGAAACCAUGCCUACAAACUACCACUUUAUGAUUUUAUCCUGAAAACUACCAUUUUUUUCCUAAUAUGUGACUAAAACCUAUCAUUUUUGAGACUUGGUAGUUUUUAGUCACAGAUUAGAAAAAAAAAGAUAGUUUUCGGGACAAAAUCAUAAAGUGAUAGUUUGUAGGCAUGGUUCCAUAAAUUGUGGUAGUUUUUGGUUAAAUACUCACCUUAUUUAGCUUUUGGUCAAUCUUGGCCAUUUCAGACGUGGAGAUUUCUCUCCCUUCUGUGAUUUAAUGAUUGGGACUCUCCCUGUUUUUCCUUGCUUAAAUCAGUGAGAGGCAAAGCUCUUGCAUUUUUUCUCAAAUAAAAGAAGGAACGGGGAAGAGAUGAAGUUUGAACAUACCUGCAUGCCGUUGGCGGUGAGAUUCGCCUCAAAACAUCCAUCAAUUUGGAGGUGAUUUUUGAGAAACCCCUCAUCAAUUAGGAGAAUCACCUCAGAAUCUCUACCAAUUUGAGGCUUUUCUGAAAAAUUGUCAAGUGCUCGUGUAGAACAGGGGGACAGCUAGAAGCAAUGUUGUGCAUUGGACGUGAGGACGUGAAGCUUCUACCUUGACCCUAAAAUAUAACAAGCUGCCACCUUCUCAAACAUCACAGCUACAAGGAAUACUUCCAUAAUAUCUAACCAAUUGUGUUCCAGAAGAUGCACAACAGCCAAAAAAGAGUCAAAGCGGUUAAACUGCAAGAUAUGAGUAUUUAAUCAAAAACUAUCAUAAUUCAUGGAACCAUGCCUACAAACUAUCACUUUACAAUUUUGUUCCGAAAAAUACCAUUUUCCUAAUCUGUGACUAAAAACUAUCAUUUUUAGAUUUGGUAGUUUUUAGUUACAGAUUAGGAAAGAAAUGAUAGUUUUCGGAACAAAAUCAUAAAGUGAUAGUUUGUAGGUAUAGUUUCAUUAAUUGUGGUAGUUUUUGGUUAAAUACUCGUUGAGAACGGAAUCCUCCCGACGAAGGAAUAUUUUGGCUUUGUUUCAUGUGCAUUUCUACAACCAGUCGACCAUCUAUCUUGAGUUAGGCAGAAUAUAUCUUUGGUUCACUUUUUGUACAACAAACAAUAGAUGUAAUGUAAAGCCAAACAUAUACAACUAGUAUGAUGUUAAAAACGCUUUUAUAUUAUGGGACAGAGGGAGUUGUUUCUAGUAGAGAGGAGCAGUUCGUGCUAAUAUGAGGUGACAAAGUGGUAUUAUUCGUUGGGCUUCUUUUUUGUCACAGGUGAAUCAGAAAAUUUAAAAGAAGCCCUUGCUGGUGCUUAGCGGGGCGUUUGCCGAUUAUGAGGGUGAGGUUCUCGGGGUAAAAAUCUGGUCGAUAACUAACUUUGGGAAGGAUGUGAUUCGUUUAGUCCUAAUAGUCGUAAUUAAAUCAUUUAUUUAAUAUACUUUUUCUGUUUUAAAAUAAGUGACUUAAAAUAAGUCUUGUCACGCCGCGGCACGGACUGCAUAGUGUGGCGUCGUCUUGUGGCACCCAACCAUGGUCGGUAGUACGACCAGCCGCAUCCUGGCCACGCGGGAGGAGGUAAUGAAGUGGUUGGAGGCGUGCCGUCACUGUGCCGCCUCGCCCUGUCGCGGUCGGCUAUGGUCAGAGGUUCGGUCGCCGGCACUGCAGCCAUGUGUGUGCUGACCAGUGGUACUCGGAUCGUUGUAGCCACGUCUGGCUGAUGUGUCCCCCGUCGCGUUAGCCUGGGUGAUGUGGAAGGUGCUGACCCGCCGGCUGGCGGGUCGCCCACGAGCCGGAUAGAGGGCGGUCUCGCCCUAAGCUAGCUCGCGUUGUGUAGGCGGCCAGGGGCAACCGGUUUACGGGAGUAAGCGUCCGUCCCAUACUAUUUUGAAAAAAGAAGGGGUUGCCCGAAUGAGCCUAUCUCGGGUUUAUCCCCCUUCAAUCAUGGUAGUACAAGGAAAACUAAAAGUAAUAAAAAUUACAUCCAGAUCCGAAGACCACCUAGCAACGAUUACAAGCACUGAAGCGAGCCGAAGACGCUCCGUUGUCAUCGUCCUUCCUUCGUUAGAGCCGGACAAACGUUGUUGUAAUAGACAAUCGAAAAAUCGUCGUACUAAGAUCCCAUAUGAUCACCAACACACGAGAACAACAAACGUCACAGAUGAAAAAUAUAGAUCGAAAUUAUCCAACCUAAAAACAUACGGACAAAGACGAAGGACGAACAGAUCCGAACAAAUCCAAAUAAAACAGAUCGUGGAAAACACAAUUCCACAAACACACCGACAAACGUAGCGUUGCCGUUGCGUUUGGUCUAAACUGGAGGUACUUUUGGCUUCUCCAUCGAUCAUAGGAGCAAUUACUGGAGUGAAGCCGUUUUCUUCUUCUUCUUCUUCUUUGUUGCUGGAGUUGGAGCGAACCCGUCGACCCAGAAUAAUGAACGAGAGCACGGACAUGCCGGUGUUCGUACGUACGCACACUGCUGUUCGUCGUUAGGCACUGUAGAUCCAACUAACCAUCUCAACCGUCUAAUCACUUGAUCAACGGACUGAUUUCCCUAUUAACAAAAUCCUGGUCACUAACGAAAAGUCCCUCGUCGCUAACGAAAAAAAAUCGCCGCGAUCGGCCGCGAACUGCUCCCGCAAGCCCCCUCUGGCCCGCUCGCCCCCACCCCGCUCGUCUCGCUCGUCCCGCGCACGGCCGCCGCCGCUCCGCUCGNNNNNNNNNNNNNNNNNNNNNNNNNNNNNNNNNNNNNNNNNNNNNNNNNNNNNNNNNNNNNNNNNNNNNNNNNNNNNNNNNNNNNNNNNNNNNNNNNNNNGGGCGCGUGACCCGACGGCGACCCGGCCGGGAGCGCGCACGCGGCCGGCAUGGGCAGGUCGCGCUCGCUCGCACGGAACGGCAGGACAUAGCCCGACGCCGACGCGGCCCGGGGCCUGUGCGCAUGCGUCCGGGCAAACGCGCCUCUUGGGCGCGCGGACCGGCACCGGCGCGAGCGUGCACCCAAGGUAAGUACGUACUGCGUGACGGCAAACGGUGGCCUGUCGCUCGCACGGACAAACAGGACAUGACUCGCGGCGACGGACGGCCGUGCGUCCACCAGCUCGACGGGACGGCGGCGACAGACGGCCGUGCAUCCACCAGCUCGACGGGACGGCCAACGUAUAGCACGUACGUGCGUGCGGCGGCGUAAAUGAAUGCACGCUCGUACGUAUAGCACGUACAGUACGUAACGUACGUACGCGCGCGCGUACCGAUCGAUCUCGAUCUGGCCGCGUUGGGCGGCGGCGCAUUGAUUAACUGGGCGCGCGUGACCGUGGAUCCGUCCGUGAUCCGGUGCGGGCGGGCGUGCACGGUGCGUACCGUUGCUGGUACGCUGCCGCACCUGCCUGCACGUACAGGUCUACACUACAUGCCCUAGGCUUAGGAGCCGCGAUGCAUCGGCAUGUUCCGGUAGUCCACGUACGUAGUACCGCUCGCUCAUGCAUGUGCAGUUUGUCUCCAUGCCGAUCCACCUGCCCCCGUCCCCUGGCCGCUUGCCCCGCUACCACGGCGCCCUCAACUCACCUCCAUCCUCGGCGAGUAAAUAGCCAAAAACCAUCACAAUUAAAUUAUUUAUUGUGAAAAAUCAUCGUUUUCAUAAAAGUUUAUCAAAAAUAUUGAUUUUGAGUAAUUGUUUGCUCAAAGCAUAAAAAACGACGCUGGAUCGCAUUUUAUCAUGAAAACUGACAGUCGGGUCCAUUGUGAGUGAUGAUGCGGCAUAGAAAACUCACACCGUUUGACACGGCCGUUAAGCUCACAUAGGGCUUACCUGUCAUCCUCUCUCCUUCAUCUUCUUCUUCCUUCUUGCUCAUGUACUGCUAUCCCACCGCGCCGCGCUUCCCCUUCCUACGACUUAUCCUACUCCGGCGAGCACCGGGACGUCGAAUCCGACGCGCCAUGUCGGCUGCCGCUUCAAGUACCUCUAUGCCGAAUCGGGCGGGAGGGUCGCGGGAACCUUGAACUCAGCCUCCCCGGAGCGAGUUGGGGCUCGGGCGCGCAGGAGCUCAGGAUAUCCGGUGAGGGCACGUGGGUAGCUCGGCCUCCCAUGAGUGAUCAGGAGCGCGGGCGCGCGAGCUCCUCCUUGUCGCCCAACACGCCACUCAACUCGCCGGCUGCUGCUGCCUCCUCCACGAGUCAAGUUGGCUGCGCGUAGGAGCUCAGACUCGCUGGAGCGGGCUCGCGGGGACCUCGCUGGAGCGGACAGGGGCGCCGGCGCGCGAGCUCCUCCUCCUUGUAGCCCAGCACGGUAGCCACCUUGUCCUCCAUGGGCCCGUGCAGAGCUGCAGGGGCAGCUGACUUUGGUGAUGCUCCGACGAGUUGCGCAACGACACCACCACGUCGAACUCCUUCGUCGUGCGGAAGCUAACUGUCCUCCACCUCUCCACCCCGAUGCACUCAAGAUGCUUGAUGAAAUGCAAGAGAGAAUUAUAGGUGUUCACAUAUGUGCUCCAUUGUAACCUAACGCUUCAGUCAGAUAGUCCAACGCCCGUCUUGGCUGGCCAUUACCCCGUGCCACGUGGCCCUAACAAAUGGGUCCAUUGUCAUUUUUCAUGUCAAAAUGUCGUCAAUCAUCGUUUUCAGUGCUUUCGGUAAACAAUCAGUUAAUAUCGAUAUUUUCGGUAAACUUUCAUAAAAAUGAUGGUUUUUCACGACUCAACUGUGCUGGUUUUCAACAAUUUACUCAUCGCCGGCUCGACCCAAACCAGUCAACACGAGAAAUAUAUGGAGUGCAGACGAAGAGGGCGGUGCAAUGGCAAUGUCAGGAGGCUGAUCGAUGGAAACUGCCGGUGACCAGCAGAAACAAGAAGCCGGUUCCCGCAAAAUAAAUGACCGGGAAAGAUCCCUUUUGGACGCUGCUCCUCGUCAGGUACUGUGAUCGGGACCGCGCGCCCUCCGAUCUAUUUUUGUUUUCCUACUCUGAUCAUCUCUCUAGAUCUUUACGGCUUGCUGUUGGCGGUUUCAUGCGGUAGCUAGACUUUUAUUCCAUUCCAUUCCUUUCCUUUGGCACUGAGACGAUCCGGGGUACUCCCGUCCUCCCGUUAUUUUUUGUACGGUGGAACCCGGUUCAUUCUUGGCUCCUACGGGGAAAAAAAAGUUACUGACCUGCAUCGAUAUCGAUCGGUCGAGCCAUAGUUUUUUCACCGUGUACGGCGACGUGCCGACGUCCGCCCCGGUCUCGGCGAUGCGAUAAGCAAGAUACGUGUGUGCCGGACCGUACAUACCGUAUUGGCGCGAAAGCAUCAUGAUUACCGGUCGUGAUCAGCCCCACGAUCAAGUGUCACGCCGGGUUUGCUCACAUCCCACGUACGUGCGUACGCCUCGAUCGAGAUUGCAACGGCGAUGAACCCGGGCAUUGGCACAUGCACAUGCAUUGACGCAUGAAACACGAGACCAUCUACGGCUUAGCUAGGCCGGUCCUCUACGUUAACGUUAACGUUAACAUCAUCAUAGAUUCAUAUCUAGCCACAUGCUGCGCAACUUGGGCAGCACACGUACGUGUCGCCUCUCCAUCGGACGCACACAUCAGCCGUACGGAGCAAAACAAAACAUUGGUACUCCUACAAGAAAGAGUACGAUCACGGAUCGCUCCUGUUACCACGCACGCACGCCCGGCAAUCAAAGUGUCCAAGUAUAUAUGCCGUGCACGCGGCCAGCCAGCCAGUCACACCAAACCUCUCGCUCUCGCAUGGCGUGUGUGCAUCGCCGGUCUAUAAUAAAUUGUACGUGUAGCGUCGGUUGAUAAAUCGCGUAGCGGUGCCGACCAAGUGCAAUGUAAAAUGUGUCGAGUUAGUCGCAACAAAACAUGAUGAUUACGGUCGUGAUCAUCGGCCCAUCAUCAAGUGUGUCACUCUCGUUCGCCAUGCAUGUACGGCCUCGAGAUCGCAAACUGCGGAACACGAGUCGGCCUGGUCCUGGAAGUAGGAGUAGUACUAAUUAUAAAGAGCAUAAUUUUUUUCCCAAUCGUGCUCACAUCCCUUCUCAUUAAUCAUUUAACGGAAAUACAUCGUACGAGUUUCUCGUGAACUAUCGACCAAAUGCUAAAGAGAACAGAAAACAAGGAUAAAACUAAAAGAUAGAAAAGGAAAAAAACGUGUUGGAGCAUCGGCAGGAAACCGUUGCGAAUGUUUACAAAAGAAACAUCCAUCGUGGGACGAAAAUCUACCGACACUACCCAUCACACAACAUAAAGGAACCGUACUACCAGGAGAUCAAUCCACUCCCUAAGAGUCUAACCAUGACUGCAAAAAAGAUCACAAACACACUCAGCGGGCAUCAAACCCCCGUGAGGAUAACACGUAGCCAGACUUCAACCAACAUGAGCUCUACCAUCAUAGCCCAGCGCAGCUCUGCUCCGAAAACGAUCGGCCUAAGAUGCCGCCACCCGCGCCAUCAACUGGACUCCUGCCUGAAGCUUAGACUUGUUCCUUCCUUUCAAAUGACCUGACCAGUAUAUUACGAAAGAACAAGCAGUGAAAACGGCUUCUAAUGGACUUCUAACCACAUGCUUCUUAAAGGUAACUUUGUUACAAGUGCACCAUAUACUCCAGCAAAUAGCAGCCAAAAUCAUCAUAUAAAAUUUACCAUCCCCGGCAGGAAUCUGUAUAGCCAGGCCUAGGAUUGCCACAAGGAAUAUGGACAACAAGUUGCGCCAACAGCUACCCUGAACAUCCCCUAAACCGAACGAGCAAAAGUGCAGCCGAAAAACAGGUGCUCCGAUGUUUCAACAUUCUCACAGAAGGAACAUAAUGGAUUUUCGGGCCAGUUUCUUUUCCGCAUAUUAUCGCUAGUAAGAACAACAUUUUGCAAUAGCUGCCACAGAUUUUUUUUUAAUUUUCAGAGAAAUAUUAGCUUUCCAAACCCACUUAUAGUCAGGUCCAUUAAGGUCUUUCUCCAACCAAUUGUAAUUAAACCGAUUUAACAGAAAACAAUUUGUUAGAAUUAAAUUUUCAAACCACCUUAUCGGCAAACUAGAUAACACCAAGUUUCGAGCAUCAUUAACAAUCUCUUUCCAUCGUCGAGCCAGCUUCCCGAAUAGCGUACGUCUAAAUGAGAUGUCAUAAUUGUUACCGACAAAGGUUGCAAGAUUGCAUUUUUAAUCAUCACAUAUAUCAAAUCACAUAGGACAGUUAUCUUUUAAAGGCAUGUCAUCAAACCAAGGUUCGUGCCACAAUCUGACGAGACCCCAUCAUUCCUAGUGAUCUCUCUACCAGCCAUAUACACAUCAAUUAUAAAUAGCAUCAUAAUUAGGGCCGUAGUAGUACACUUCGUCUACAACCGACUGGUGUCGCAUCCCGGCCGUAUCCAUCAACCCAGGCCCCGUAACCCGUCAGUACCAUAUACAGUAGCAAACUGGUACGUACGAUAAACUCAUAUUACCACACAUGUCCAAGUCAGCCGUACACACGGUCACGUCACGCACAUAUAUAGCAGCACACGCGUAGUAAAUAUAAGAAUUGGGUGUGUCUAGGGCAAUCUCCACACAUGUGUAUAAUCUUCACGUAAGACCAUUGAUAUAGAACUCAGAUAUAUAAUACUUAUAUCACAUCUAGAUGUGUUUUAAUAAAGGGUGUGUCUAGGUCUCAGCCGACUGAGACUUCGCGACUGAGACUUCGCAAAAUCUCAGUCAAGUAGUAUAAUAUGAGACUGAAAAAAAAUGCAAAAUCUGCACGCGUCUAAAUGCAAAAAUCUGCACGAAUCUAAAUGCAAAAUCAACGAAUUAUAGGCCCUGUUUGGAUACUCUAACCGGGUUAGAGGUUAGAGUUAGAUUCUAACCCUCAACUAACCCUGAACUAACUCUAACCCAAGAGGUGUUUGGAUGAGAGGGUUAGAUUGGCAAUAAAUGCUUUUUCCCAAUCAUUUUACUACUUUUGUCCAUGUUCAGUGUCGGAUUUGGUGUGGCCGGUCGUUGUGUGGUUGUGGCGGAACGGCGUGGGGUGGGGUGCUGCAGACGGCGGCUGGCAACNNNNNNNNNNNNNNNNNNNNNNNNNNNNNNNNNNNNNNNNNNNNNNNNNNNNNNNNNNNNNNNNNNNNNNNNNNNNNNNNNNNNNNNNNNNNNNNNNNNNUAUAUAUAUAUAUAUAUAUAUAUAAGGUUAACUUAUCUUAUUAUGCAUAAUUAUUCAUUGCUUACGAGGCAGCACGUUAAUUCAGAUAUGCAUAAUUAUUUCUAUUUAAAUUAUAUGAAAACUAAUUCCCGAACACCAAACGAGGCAGCACGUUAAUCUCCCGAACACCUAAACCCUAAAACCCUAAAACCCAAAAAUAAUUUCAUUCAAAAAAAAAACCCAAAAAUAAGCAAAAUCUGAAACUCUUUAGUCCCGGUCCGUGUAACGAACCGGGACUAAAGGGCCCACCCCUGGGGCGCUACGUGUAACAGGGCCGGGACUAAAAGUUAGGCCUUUAGUCCCGCCCCUUUAGUCCCGGUUGUUGAACCGGGACUAAAGCCCCUUACGGACCGGGGCUAAAGGUUCCGUCCCCAUUAGUGACAUUCAUCAGAAAAUGUUAAAAUUAUACGAAUCCGUGUCGCAUCCGGUGGAACAAGUGCGGCUAGCCGUACUUAUACAAUGGUCAUGUGCCAUGCUGGACACAUUCUUUUGCAGGCCCGUGUUGUAUGUCCAUUCAGAAGACAUCAUCUCGAUACGUGGAUCAUGCUUUAUAAUGCACCCGUUUUGCUUAUCACACACACACUCCGCAUGAUCGUUUUUGCUCUUCACUCCUUCGCUUUUCCGCGACAACCCGAAGACGCACGGUUCAUUUCGAAACGUAAAUAACAAAAGAAAAAAAAACUGCCACAUGAUAGCAAAUUCAAAACAGACAAUGUAAACAAGAGCACGAAAGUUUUCUUAACCAUCCCAAGCAAAAUAAAUUAUGACACUCCCUCUAUAAGUAAAUAUAAAGAAAUGGUAUCCCUUAUUGAUUUUUUGGAAUUCCAAUUUUUUGGCAUAGUCGGCUCUUUGACGCGUUAAAAAAAAAAAAAAAAAAAAAAAAAAAAAAANNNNNNNNNNNNNNNNNNNNNNNNNNNNNNNNNNNNNNNNNNNNNNNNNNNNNNNNNNNNNNNNNNNNNNNNNNNNNNNNNNNNNNNNNNNNNNNNNNNNNNNNNNNNNNNNNNUGGCUUUUCAACCACAAAUCGUUUGCAGGCCGGACCGAACUUUCUGUCCCUGACGCGACCCCGCAUCGGCUGGGCGGCCCAAACACGGCAACAAAAACGCCGCCGCCGCCUUCCUCUUCCCCACCACCGCUCCAUCCCGUCCUCCCCCUCUCCCCGCAGCGCAGAACCCCAGCCAGCGACACGCGUUCGGAAGGAAGCAAAAGAGGAGAACUUCCCUUCCACCCCCGUCCCCUCCGGCGACCGCCGUACCCUCGCCCGCCAUGGACGCAUACUACCCGCUGCCGGCGAUGGCGCCGGACCUGCCGGUCUGGUCCCACGCCGCGCCGGCCCCGGCCCCGGCGGUCCUGCUCCCGGAGCCCCAAACCCUACCCUCCUUCUUCAUGCACCCGCCCCCGCCGCCCCCGCUACCCGCGGGCCGCGGCCGCCUCCUCCCCUGGCCGAUCGCGCACCGGCCGCCUCCCGAAUUCUUCUUCGAGAUGGACUACCGCCGGACCCACUCCCUCAUCCAGGUAAGCCCCCCCGUCACCCGCCGAUUCCUCCGGUUUCUCUGCUGACUGCUGUCCCCGGUGGUCGCCUUAGAGUAAUCCCGUGCUUUGCUUUCUUUUCCUUCGGGGGCGAUGCAGUUCUUGACGGACGAGGGGGCCAUCCCGACGCCGGAGGAGGAGGAGACGAGGGAGCUGGUCAUCCGCGAGCUCAAGAAGGUAGUACUGGGGUGGGCAUGGGGACUCUCGCUUGGAAAAAUUGGGUGUUGCGCGCGUGUCCGCCCGGCUGGAGUUCCUGAUUUUUUGUGUUUUCGAUGCUUGCUCGCGCAGAUUGUGACGGAUUGGGCCAAGGGAGUGGCCUCCGAGGAGAGGGUUCCCCCGAGGCGGGUGACGGCUACGGUCCUCACCUAUGGUUCUUACACGCUAGGGGUAAGCAAGAACGCAAGAUACUCACCAAAAAUGAUGUGGUCAUGAUUUCUCUGAAUGCUUGCGUGGUUGGCAAUAUUGGUUGCAUUAUCCCCAGUUUCAAGAUUCUAUAGAAUUCCAUGUUUGUAGUAGUAAUUUGGUUGGAUUAUCCCCCAAUUUCAGAUUUCCUUGGAAUUUCAUGUUUGUAGUAAACUGGUUGGAUCAUAACCCAAUUUGAAGUUCUAUAGAAUUCCAUGUUUGUAUUAAAAAUUGAUUGGAUUAUCCCCCAAUUUGAACAUUCUAUAGAAUUCCAUGUUUGUAGUAAAAAUUGAUUGGAUUAUCCCCCAAUUUCAGAUUUCCUUGGAAUUUUAUGUUUGUAGUAAUGCCUAGGUUUAGUGAUUCACAACUUCUGGCCAACUAAGCCGGCAUAUAUUUCAAGGAAGGUAGAUUGCAAACCUAUUAGCAAAGACAAAACAGGAGCAGAAAAUGGUCUGUUGUUUACAGUGCCUGCCCCUAUGCCCAGACCAUUCUCUGAGCGUUAAUUGCAUGUGACAUUAUAAGUUGUAUGGCUUGUCACAUGUUUGUGCACCUUCUGUUUGUUCUAGUUACCGCUUAUGAUGCAAUAAAUCAAGUGCGUUGGCUGAUCAAGUAUUUUUGUUUUUUCAAGGCUCACGGACCUGAAUCUGACAUCGAUGCACUAUGUGUUGGUCCCUGUAUCGCAAACUUGCCGGUAAGUAUUGUGGUUUGUGUUGCACCUUUCUCCACCUUUGCUUCAGGAUGCUAACGCAUGCCAUGUCAAUCUUGCAGCACCACUUUUUUGUUGUUCUGCGACAAAUUCUCAAGUGCAGGCCGGAAGUAUCAGGACUGCAGACUGUAGAAAAUGCCAAGGUUCCAUUGAUGCGAUUUAGAUUCAGCGGGAUUUCUGUUGAUCUGACAUACGCCCAGCUCCCAGUCCUUGAUGCAGUUCAGGCAAGUUUGUGCACUGACGCCCCUUCUAGAAAACUAUACCUGUAUUUAUGAAUCCUGUCUGAUCAUGCAAAAUUAUCUUAACUCAUGGAGUGGACCUGUUAGUGAGCAGCUUACCAAUAGGACGAUAUUGUUCUAGAUAGUUGAAGUGUCUCUGAUCUGCGGAGCUAAGGGUAUAACUCUGUAGUAUAAUCUAUUUAACUGCGGCACCUCAAAAUCAUCAAACAUGGCCCUGACCCUCGAAUACCUUUUUCCGGUGUCAAACAUGACUGAUUCAGAACCAAAUGAAGUUCUAGAAGUGCACAAAUACGAUCCUGACUUUCCUUGCACUCUCCAUACUAAGGACAUAUGAUAGAGCAUUCUCUUUGAUGGCCUUUGCCGUACUGUGCAAAAAGACUCGGUUAGUGACUUGGGGUUAGCAGCUAACAACUACUGUACCAGAUAUAUGACACCACAUUCAGAAGAUUAUUGGAUAACCCAUGUUGCUCAUUCUGAGCAUCAAACUUUUCUAUCUGUGUGACAAGAUCUCACUUCUUUUCCUUGACAUACAUUUAACCCCAGCCUUGCAAAAAACUAUGGGACAUCUAAUGUCAUUUGACCAUUAGUCAGGAGAAGUCCACUGUAUGUCAUCGCCUCACCCAUUUCGUAUCAGCUGUUUCUCGAAACUAGCCUGAAAAAACAUUGAUGCUCGCAAAAGAAAUGCAUUACUUGGUUCAUUUGCUCACAGCAAUAUGUGCUUGAUCAAACCAAUUCUCGUCAGGCUUCUCAUAGUAAAAGGUGUGAUCUGGCUCCAAGCCAUGCUAACUAGCAACCUGUCAAAAUUAACCAUGGCUGGCAAAUUUGCUUGUUGGUCCAUGUGUAACUAGCCCUUCCCCUUUAUUUUUUAUUUUUUUUAUUGUGGAUACUUUCCCCUUUAAAUCUUAUGGAUUUAUUGGAGAGUUGGAUCAGAUAGUGACCAAUAUUAUUGUUAUGUUCUGUCACAUGCCUACUGAAUGAGGUUUGCUAAUCCCUAGGAAUAGUGGCACAAUAUAUAAUUCUGUUUUUCUGCUUGCUGCUUGCCAAGCAGUCAGUCGAGAAGUCGGGCUGAGCAGGCCUAAAAGCCACACCACAUAUUCCCAUAUGAACACACUGACUUUUUGUUUGAUCAACACAUUUGCAAAGAAUUUACCUUGAUCAAAAGAACUCACAUCUAAAACAUCUUAUUUUGCUUGUAGUAAUGUUUCUGCAGUUUUUAUGAGUUCAGCACCCUAAAUGGUACUUACAAGAUAAAUCCAUAUAUGGGGAGUAUGAUCCCUCCAAAAUUAUAUUUAUCAUGACUGUCACAUACACACGGUACUAUGUAAAAAUGUAAGGUCUAUAUUCUGACGGGUUUACUUGCUCAUGCAGGCUAUAAAUACAUCUAGUCCUCAGUAUCUUCGGAGACUUGAUUCACGGAGUUGGAAGAGUUUAUCUGGAGUUCGUGUUAAUGAGCAGAUUGUGCAGCUAGUGCCGAAUCAAGAGGUUACAGACUAUUCUAAUUUAAUUCACCAGCACUCGGUCACAUUUUUGUCCCCUACAUAAUUGUACAUGAGCACCCAAGUAGUCAUGUUUGAAUAUACACUACUACUCAAUUCAUUUACAUGCUCUUGUAUUCAUCUAUGUCUGCACUUCCUACUUAACAUGCUCUUGUUUCCUUUGAUUUAUUUAUGUGCUUACUCUUAUCCCUGCUCUUGUUUCCAUGGAUUUACUGUGACUGUGGUAUUGCUCAUUAUUAUUUUUACACAAGAGUACUUCAAAUUGUUGUUAUUUUUUCACUUCAAAUUCUGUUUGUUAACAAUUCAUGCAGAAGUUCCAAAUUCUGUUGCGAUGCAUAAAACUAUGGGCUAGGAGGCGGGGACUUCAUUGCCAUGUAUGUGGUUUAAUGUGUGCUGCUGAUUGCUGUUCAGCUAUAUUCUGGUCUGACCGUGUCAUGUUGAAUUGUCUUAUGCCAUUUUGCAGUUGCUUGGUUCCUUUGCUGGGAUUCAUUUGGCGAUUCUUGCAGCCUAUGUUUGUCAGAGAUUUCCAAAUGCCACUGCCAAUGGUUUGUUCACCAUGUUCUUUGGCAUAUUUGCUCACUGGCCUUGGCAUAUUCCAGUAGAUCUGCAUGGUCAGCCAACUAACUGCAGGCAUUCAGAUGGGUGUUUAAUGCCCAUAGUGAUGCCUUGUACUCCGCCGGAACUCUGUGCGUCUAAUAUGACGGAAGGUACCUUCAGGAAGAUCAGAGAGGAGCUUAUGCGUGGUUAUGUUUUGACCAAGGUCAGUAAGUUUGGUAGUUUCACUUAUAGUUAUUCGUCCUGCUUUUCGAAGUCUGGUGGAGUUUGUGAAAUGCACAGAUUUUUUUAUUCUGAGGAAGUUUUGCCUAAAACUCUAUAUAUGAUAAUAUUUAGUCAUUUAUUUCAACGAUAUAGCUUUUUUUAGUAUAAUGAUGGUGGAUUGGUGAUUUGUCAACUUGCUUAUGCUUACAUAAACCUACACAUUCUGCCAUUCCUCUGCCACAAAUUCAGAUCUUCCUUGCAUGCAUGUAUUCAGCACUCUUUCCUGUUCUGAAUUUCUUUCCCAGGGACAAAUAAUCCACUGUUUCAUACCACUAUGGUUUCUGCAUCUCAACCAUUCAGAAUGCUCUAGCUUGACACAUGGACACCUAUCUCGUGUUCCUUGUUCAAUUCAAGUACUUGACUAUAUUUGCUUACUGCAUUUUGCUGUACGCCUAGCUCAUUGAUACUCGUCUCGAGUUUUAGUUCUCAAUAUCAUUUCACUGAGUAUGCAUUUUCCCCUUGUCUGUCCUCUUAACAGAACCGUACAUAAUGCAACUUAUCUUGGAAUAAUUUUGCGCUUCAGUUUUCCCUAGUACUAGACCGGUGCGCAUAUGUUUGCUUGAACACUUCGAAUUUAUUUUUGCAUCAACUCUUAACAGUUCUUUAUUGUUUGUCACAGGACCUAGGGAGCCAUGAUUUUGAGUGGGCAUGGAUUUUUGAACCCUUCCCAUAUUCAACAACAUAUGGACAAUUUCUUCGCAUUGCUCUAUGUGCUCCAACUUCUGAAGAACUGCAUGAUUGGAUUGGAUGGGUUAAAUCUCGCUUCCCUUACCUUAUUCUCAAGGUUUGUUUGCUGCAGUCGUCUUGUUUUUCCUUCAUACUCACGCAGCUCAACUAUUCAUUUAGUGCAAGGAUGUGAAAGUGUAAAUCUAAAUGGUUGUAACUUGUGCUCUGCAGCUGGAAAAUAUUGGCAUUGAGUGUGACCCCAAUUCAUCACAGGAAGUUGAUCAUACAGUCAUCAAACCCAACACUGUAUAUCACUGGGGCCUCAUCCCUCUGUCUGAUGUUUACCUUGAUCCUAGCUCUCUGAAGGAAGAUUUCAUGAAAUAUGUCAUCAAUGAUGUGUAUGGGAAGGUGAAAUGUACAGACUCAGAGCUGACAAUAUCCAUCGUCGACGCAUCAGAGCUUCCAAAAAGCAUGUCCAAUGACUCAUUUUACUCCCAGCAGCACCUGCACGAGUAUGGGGUGGGCUACCAAGCAGCAGCUGACUGUUGGAGUGCAUUUGGCUAGGAUAUUGCUGGAUCAUCUGGCACUUCUUUUGCAUCUCAUAUGCUGAUCAUCGGGCCGACACGGAAUCAUGUCUGUGGGUUUCUUGUCAUCUCCUUAUUGCCCCUAGCAAAGGGAAUCUGAAGACCAGUGUUCCAGAUGCACUAAGAUCAUGAAACUGACUUGGUUCUGCUCUGAUGGUUAUUCAAGCCCAUGUGUAAUACUGGUCAGUAUAUUGGCAUAGCGUCUGACAAAAAAAAGGAAAAAAAGUAUAUCGGUGUUGUGGCUUAUAGCAGGUAGAAUGUAAAAUGUAGGUUAUUGUUUCAAAAAAAAAAAUGUAGGUUACUGGAAACCCAUUGAAGAUGGGGAGGGAAAAAAAGAAGAAAAAAGGUAAAAUGUCUACAUGAAGGGGGUCCAAGUGCGGGUUUGUGCUGUGAAUUCUGAUGCCUGCUGGGUGCAAAUCACCCAUGGUGCCUGCAACUGCAAUGUAUAGUUGAUCUCACUAGUGUGCUGCUACAUUUUGUAAGCAGAAGAGCGCUUGCCACUGAACAAUUCUUGUGUGUAACUAAUAACUACCCUACUCGUAAGUGCCUGAUCUGAUGGGGUGGUACUGAGUAAUAAGCUGCAAGUGAAAAAAAAUUGUUGAAACUUGUAUGUGGUCUUGUUUCGCAGAGGUGGAUGAUGCUUGUUAGUAAUGUUUUUGUACGUAUUUGGUAUUGAUAAUGAUGAUGGUGAUGGUGAUGCAUGCAGUUUAGCAUGAUUGUAUUUUGUUGUUGCGUACAUGGUCCAGGGCCGGCGUUCAGGUGAGGAGAUGCAUUUGGUCCAAAGCCAUCAUGGCCUUGGCUCUGGCUCAUAGGUGUAUGUAUGCCGUCAUGGUAUACGCGUCACGCCUGAUGACCCAGCCUAGCUAUGCUCUUGGGAUCAUACUAGUCUUUGAGAUCCGAAGUUUGCGCAUCAUAGGCAUAUUAGACAGACCCCACCCUGCAAACCACGGAAAAUACGGUCGCACAACGAACUAUGUACUCUGAAUUUACUGAAUCAUGUACUACUAAAAUAUGUCUAUAUACGGAUACUACUAAAAUAUGUCUAUAUACAUCCGUAUGUAGUUCAUUAAUGAAACCUCUACUAGCAAAAGGGCUCAUGCGUUGCAACGGGAGAAAAAAAUACCACACGGCACACGCUCUUAAUUUAUAAAAAAUGUCUAUAAUUUGAGAAUUUAUAGUUACGAUACAAAUAAAGAUGGUCUUAUCCUACAAAAAUGCAGUUUAAAAUUUCACAGGUCUUCUAUUUUAACACGGCUUGCAUGUAGAUUUAAUACGUACAAAGAAUCAGUCAAGUGACCUUCAGUUUCAUCUCUAAUCCUGAUUUUGUUGACGUGUUCAUCCCCAACCCGGAUGAGUACCGAUAUGAAAGAAAGACGAAUAAUGACUUAUUUAUUAAGAUUGCAUCCUAGAUAGUAUUUUUAUUAAACGUUUAACAGAUAAAAUGAUAUCAUAUUUAAAUUCUACAUAUUUUUCUAAUCAAAUUCCAUGUAUAAUAUGUUAAAUUUGGAGUUACGGUUGAAAAGAUAUGAGUAUUUUAAAAAAUAUUUAAUAUAUACUACGAGUUUAAUGUCAUAAACAGUAAGGGCUUUUUUGUAGAAUCACCUCGGUGGGUUUUCCGACGAAAGCGAUAGCCUCUUUAUUAUUACUAGCAAAAGGGUCCGUGCGUUGCAACGGGAGAAAAAAUACCACACGCUUUUAAUCUUUUUAUAAUCAUUUUGAUUUAUUAAAAUAAUAAGCUAACUAACUAAUGUAGUCAGUCCUAUCCUAUUUUGUUGAGAAAUCAACCCAUCCAUUGUUAAUUCCACCAUGAUGAGAAAUUGAGCGGGACAAGCAAAUCAAAACAAAGAGGCUACGUGAAUUGAUCAAUGGACUGUUAUCUUAUUUCACUCAUGGGGUAGAGAAUGUGGGAUGAGAUGACAAACCGAAGGUGGUGUGCCAUUCUUUGUCUCUACAACAAUACAAUCUUACAUUCAAUACAUUCAUUCAUCAGCAAACAAAUCCUCACAAACAAAAAUUCUUGCCGAUGUUUGGCACAGGUUGGAGGCAUGGGGAGGGGAUCUCAUCAGAUGAUGAGUUCCUGCCGGAGAAGGGGAUACGAUGAGGGGGGCAAGGGUUAGGCGCCUCUAUUUGUCCAUAAGGAGUCGCCGUUGCCGCGCCAUAACCUCGGAGUUCAACGUGUGAGCCAUGGAGGCCCGCCUUCACCUGCAAGUACUUCGCUGUGUCGCGCCGCCGCCGUUGUGCAUCGAGAAGACGCAUCAUCCCCAGUCACUGUAGCUGUCGCGUUGAUUUGAUCCAGAAGCUGUGCUCGAACGCCGAAACGGGGGCACCAAGCGGGCAGAGAUACGACCGCGGAGGCGGGUGAGUUGAGAUCGGCAGCGGUGGCGGUUGAGGUCGGUCGCGGCGGCGAGUGGUGUGGCGGCGGCCUGGACACAGGCAGGGUGGCCCAGGGUCGACGGGAGGAGGCGAUGCGUACGGAUAUAAUUUUUGCAGCAAAUCAUUUUUUUCUUUUGCGUUGCAGAUAAAUAAUGAAGCGCGGGUUGAAUAACAAAAAUUACAGGGUUUUUUUUAUAAAAAUACCGCGGUGGGUUUUUCAACGGAAGCAAUAGCCGCUUCAUUAUUAUAUAUAUAUAUUAGGUAAAGAUAAAGAAUUAUAUUUAGGAACGGAGGAAAAGUACCAAGUUUGUACAUACGUAUGUUAUUAAUUUCAGUUACCAAGUCUGUAGAUAUGUUUGCCAUGGAAAAGGGAACAGCGAGAGCGAUACGGCAGAGGCGAAAGCAAAAAACUCAUCCACGUCGUAGUACUACUACUAGUCUACUAUACAUAGUCGUUGUCACAUGGUGAUGGUGGCACAGGGCCGGGCGGCCGCGCUCCGGACCACGGCGGGGUCGCGGUCACCACCGACAGCGGAGCCGAAUCAUCGGCAGCUUUUGGCGUGGCGAGUAACAUGCACGGCCAGCCACUAGCCAUUCCAUCGGUGACCCGAAGCCAUCUCACUCAGGUGCGCACAUGCGCUGAGCAGCCCAUCUCACUCACUCGCUCACGCACGCACGUCCGGCCCCGACGCGCGCCCUCGCCCGCGCCACACGAACCAGCCACGGCAGCUAGCACGCCACAUCGCUGCACAGGGGAAGCCGGCCGACGAACAGGGGCACGCGCGCGCACGCUCCCUCGGAUCGGCAUGCCAGGGCGCGGCGUGGCCGUGCCCACGACGCGUACGUGGGCGCGUGACCCGACGGCGACCCGGNNNNNNNNNNNNNNNNNNNNNNNNNNNNNNNNNNNNNNNNNNNNNNNNNNNNNNNNNNNNNNNNNNNNNNNNNNNNNNNNNNNNNNNNNNNNNNNNNNNNUUGCACGCUCCAUUGUUCCGGAGAACGGAGUUUUAUUCAUCUUGCCCAUGAGGCAUGGUUCGCACGUGUCAAGUGAAUCAAAGUCAAGUGACUCCAAAAGUCCAUCGACAUGGAGUUUCUUCAUGCGCUUUACACCAAUAUGACCUAAGCGGCAGUGCCACAAAAAUAUGGCGCUAUCAUUGUUAACUCUAACUCUUUUGGUCUCAAUGUUAUGUAUGUGUGUAUCGCUAUCAAGACUCAAUAUGAACAAUCCUCUCACAUUGGGUGCAUGACCAUAAAAGAUGUUACUCAUAGAAAUAGAACAACCAUUAUUCUCUGACUUAAAAGAGUAACCGUCUCGCAAUAAACAAGAUCCAGAUAUAAUGUUCAUGCUCAACGCAGGCACUAAAUAACAAUGAUUCAAGUUCAUAACUAAUCCUGAUGGAAACUGAAGUGAAACUGUGCCGACGGCGAUUGCAUCAACCUUGGAACCAUUUCCUACGUGCAUCGUCACUUCAUCUUUCGCCAGCCUUCGUCUAUUCCGCAGUUCCUGUUUCGAGUUGCAAAUAUGAGCAACAGAACCGGUAUCGAAUACCCAGGCACUACUACGAGAGCCGGUUAAGUACACAUCAAUAACANNNNNNNNNNGUAACAAUGAUUUAAGUUCAUCACUAAUCCCGAUGGUAGCUGAAGUGACACUGUGCCGACGGCGAUUGCAUCAACCUUGGAACCAUUUUCUACGUGCAUCGUCACUUCGUCUUUCGCCAACCUUCGUCUAUUCCGCAGUUCCUGCUUCGAGUUGCAAAUGUGAGCAACAGAACCGGUAUCAAAUACCCAGGCACUACUACGAGAGCCGGUUAAGUACACAUCAAUAACAUGUAUAUCAAAUAUACCUGAUUUUUCUUUGCCCGCCUUCUUAUUUGCCAGAUACUUGGGGCAAUUGCGCUUCCAGUGACCCAUACCCUUGCAAUAGAAGCACUCUGUUUCAGGCUUAGGUCCAGCCUUGGGUUUCUUCGGCGGAUUGGCAACAGGCUUGCCGCUCUUCUUCGAAACUAGUGGUCUUGCUCACCAUCAACACUUGAUGCUCUUUACGGAGUUCAGACUCUGCGACUUUCAGCAUCGCAAACAACUCGCCGGGAGACUUGUUCAUCCCUUGCAUGUUGUAGUUCAACACAAAGCCUUUAUAGCUUGGCGGCAGUGAUUGAAGGAUUCUGUCAGUGAUAGCCUCUUGCGGGAGUUCAAUCCCCAGCUCAGCUAGACGGUUUGAGUACUCAGACAUUUUGAGCACAUGUUCACUGNNNNNNNNNNNNNNNNNNNNNNNNNNNNNNNNNNNNNNNNNNNNNNNNNNNNNNNNNNNNNNNNNNNNNNNNNNNNNNNNNNNNNNNNNNNNNNNNNNNNCCACGGCGGAGGCGCAGGGUUCGGCGGUGGAGCUGGCGCCGGUGGCGGCGGGGGAUUCGGCGGUGGUGGGGGCGCGGGCGGCGGCGGCGGCAUCGGUGACGGGCAGUGAGGCCGGCCCGGAGAACGCGCGCAUGCACGUCGCGGGCGCUUCGGUGGGUCCAUGCAUGCAGGGAGACGUGCGUGACGCGCGCGCCAUGGGGAGCAAAGCAAUCAAUCUUGGUAGCCUACGUAUAUGCGAAUAAAUUUGUUGGGUGGUGAGCGAUGAGUACGUGACGUGACAAUGACAUUCCUUUUCCUUGUGUAUCCAUGAUAGUGUUAUUACCAUGACGCAUGUAUUAUUUUGGAAGCCAAACUAUGUUUCCAUCUGUAUCAAAGAUAUACUUAUAUAUUACUAUACAAACAGAUUUAUAUAUUGCGCACAGAAUGAUGACUUGGUUCCGUUACCGUACAAGUUUUCUUUUGUGAGUGCACGUGAAACGCACAUAUAAUCAUAAGUUUAAUAUUUUGAUUAUCCAAAUUGAUUUGUCUAUCACAAUGGUUGCCACAAUAACAUCUCAAGUUUUUAUAACAUUUGGUCUAAACUAAAAUUUAUAACAAUUUAAAAGGAAUUUUUGUUUAGCAAACGCCCUUCUUUGUGGCUAGAUGUUUUCACGUCGGCAUCUCAUUGCCUCGGAAGUGUCCCUCCCAUCAUGGAUCGUUUCUUAUGUGGCACUCCUCUUUAUGCCCCUUGCAUCGCCUUUGAUUUUUGGACAUGUUGGAAUCUUUCUUCAGUGCCACGCGGAGCUCUACCUCCCGCAUCGCACCAACGACAAAUUGGGUGUCACCAACAGAUUUGCUCCACCUCAAUAAAGCACAUGGAGAGGCAAGCUUGAAUCUCCGAUUUGAACACCACCUUGCUAACCGAGCUAGGUUUGGUCAUGUGCAAGAAGGCCAUACCAAAUCUGUUCUUCUUUAUCAACAAUGGUUAAAUGUUUAGACAACAUCGUCUUAAUCAACACGACAAAACAUUGCAUAAAACAUUGCACAAAAGGAAAGGAACAUCACCUUUGAGGUAAAAAUUUCAUCCCAAUAUGUGUAGCUCAAAUCAUCAUGUUUCCUAGUUUUACAAAGUUCUCCUACGAGAAGGAUUACUUGUGAUGCCUGCUUUACAGAAAAGUAAAUAUUAGAAAACAUAAAGUGAAAGAGGAGAUGAACUAUACUACCAGAUCUUAUGAGCUCAAAUAAUGACAUGGUACAUUUUGCAGAAAUAGUUCAUGACAAAAAUAAAUACGCUAACCUGAGUACAUAGGUUGUGACAAGUAUAAUUUCAUUGAUAAAAACAUACUUCCUCCGUUCCAUAAUAUAAAAGCGUUUUUCAAGCUAUGUUAGCUUGAAAAACGAUCUUUAUAUUGUGGGACUGAAGGAAAACAUAUAAAGGCUUAAAAAAAUCAAUCGAGUUAAAACUUGAAAGAAGUCACAGAUCAGCAUUGUCUUGUUGCAUAGAGGUAUUAUCCUAACACAUUUGUGAUAAGCAUAAAUAAACACUGUUAAUUUGAUGAGUCCCUCAACCUCCCCUUUUCACUGCCCUUACAACCAAAAACAGUAACUUGACGUAAAAUUGCUCUAUUGAGUUUCACCCAAAGGACAAUGUUCACAAAUGACAAGCACUCACGACAAGAAUCUGAAACUUUGCCGGUGAAAGCACAAACUGGAAAACGCGACGCAUCAACUGAAUCUGCGGCCCAAGCAACUCUGCAUGCAAUGCAACAAGAUGUAUCUUUCUGAAUUUGAGAAGUCCCUGUCGGCUUAUUGUGUACCAACUUGGCAUGAAUCGCUAAGCAAAAGCAUAAGACAGAAGAUAGCGUGAUUCGGCGUCCAAACUGCGGAGCAGAAACCCUAAAAAUAUGGUAUCCCCUGAUCUCUCCAAACAAACAAUCCCUAAUGCCCAAAGAUAAUCACAGGGAGCCGAGGAAAACACCAUGAGCAGACCCCUAAUUUACCUGCCAUCACAUGAAUUAGGGGUCAGUCGCCAGCCGCCCACCCAACCAGCAGCGCGCGCCGCCGUCUGCUUCGACUUUUUUUUUGAGCAAUCGCCGUCUGCUUCCACUAAAAUGAAGUGAACUAACGCCGGGAACAGAGAGGGAGGGGGGGCUUACUCUUGAUGUCGCGGAUAUCGCCGUGGUGGGUGGCCUUGAUGAACCUUGCCUCCGGAGGCCACCGAUCGCGGUCUGCAAAAACAAAUCCCAAAACCAAACAACAAGCUCCAAGAAAAGUUAAGUUUUUAUUCAGAUAUCACACUUAUAACCACUCUGAGGUGCCAUUUUGGUAUUCAGUUUUUCCUCAUGAGGGAGCUGGAAAAUCUUGCUUGUGACCUCGUGUGCGGCGUGUGCGUGUGUGUGCUUGGCACUGUUGUUUGGAUGUUGUGGCUCGGUGGUUUGCUUUAUUUAUAAAACGGGGUGAAAGCCUUUUUUUGUAAAAACUUGCUUGUGACGUCCCUGACUUCCGUCAUUAGUGACUCCGCUAUCCCAUGACUUUUCUGUUAAUAAUACAGAAACAUCAUUUUGCCAUGGUUAAUUAGCUGAUUAGCUCAUUGUUAAUUAGCACUCAACCGAUGAGUUGAACUGCAUUCAGAACCAAUUUUUGUUCAUAAAACAGAAGGGGAAAGACCAACUCCACGGAACAAUUGGAACAUGACACACACAUGACAUUAUAUACAUGAAGCCUUUUUCCAGUAUAUACAGUCUGCUUAGAGGUUCAAAUUAAUAAGUUGAAUGAGCAACUACCACAUAGAAGAAUCCGGCCUCCCUGCAAGCGUCAUCCAGCAUCGGACGACUCGAGCAAACCCUCGUCGUUGGCCAUGGCAGUGUCAUUGAUCUUCUCGAUGAUCGGGCUGAUAUCUGAGCAUGCAAAGAGGAAAAGAGAACUCAAUUUUCAGAUAAAACAAACAGUGCAUUAACUGUAUCACCCGCUUGGAGCGAGAAAUGGCCGUAACACGAUUGGUACUGAAAAUAGAAAUCUCCAUGGAUAAACAUGUAUCGAUCAGCUGCAUGUCUUCAAGGGGAACUGCUUCCGGCACACUCCAACAUCCCGUCCGCUUAGUUCAGCGAGGAUGGAGAAUCUCUGAAUAAUAACGCGUGAAUUCAGGGAAGGCUGCAGCAACGUAUGUUCUGAAUAAUGCAUGAACGCACUGCAGAAUUUGUCUUUCGGAAAGGACAGGGAAUUGAGCCCUCGGUAGUACUUACAUAGGAAUUUGUCUUUCGGAAAGGACGGGCGACGUCCGGUGGCGGACUGCGACGGCGAACGAUGGUGGCGGCGUGGUAGGGAGGUGGAGGGGUUGGCGGCGGGGCUGCGUCGGGCCCGGGGCGCGUGCGGCGCGGGGCGAGCGGNNNNNNNNNNNNNNNNNNNNNNNNNNNNNNNNNNNNNNNNNNNNNNNNNNNNNNNNNNNNNNNNNNNNNNNNNNNNNNNNNNNNNNNNNNNNNNNNNNNNCUAUUGUAUAUGCUUAAGUGUUAAUAGUUUAUUUUUAGCAAGAAAAUUAAUAGAACUAGUUUAAUUUUGCUAUUGUAUAUGCUUAAGUGUCCGGGACUGGGCUCCGCCCGGCUGGUAUUUUAGAGUUUAGGUUCUAGCCAAGACCCGGGACUAAAGGUCCUCCUAUAUAAAACGACACUUCGAAGUUUACAACCCCUCUUAUAUAGUUUGUUAGUUUAUUAGUUAAUCAAAUGUCCGUUUUUUGCAGAACUAUGGAUCCACAUAUUAGGAACCUUGAAGAGGAAGAACUUCUCGAAGAUAUAAUCAAAGACGGCCCCGACGUUGAACCAGCUGUAUCUCCGUCGUCAUAUCUAAACGCCUCCAGAUAUGGAAUGGAGGUCGAGCGACACGAAGAUGAAGCCGAUGGGGCAGGAGAUAGGUCCAAUGACGGAGAAGGUGAUAGCUCCACUGAUGGAGAAGCCGGUGGAGAAGCCGUUGAAGAAAUAAUAAAGUCCGGCGAGGUAUACAUAUGAAGUUCGACAAUCACUUGUAAUAUGUGAAAAAUAUUGGAGAUAGCUCUAUAUUGUAUACAUAUACAUUCAUUUGACGAAUGUUUCUCCCUCUUAGGCCUCCACAUCGAGCAAAGCUACGAAACGAGGCCCCACUAGAAAGUUGGAUGCACGGACGCAUUACACCUUUGAGGUGAUAUUGCCUACGGGCGAACCCAAGCUUCCUAAGAAUGCUGCUGACACAUUCAAGAAGCAAUGCGGAGUUCUCGUUAGGGAUCACGUCUCGAUCAGCGUUCGGGAGUGGAACAAGCGCAAAGGGGCAGCCGAUAGUAAAUAUGUCGCCGAAAGGUACAAAGAUAAUCUUUGGAAUGAUCUCAUGUCACAUUUCAACCUGCCAGAAUGUGAGAAUGAAGACGCCGCAGACAAACUGAGGGCCAAAGUCAAGCAGUGGACUCUAAAGAAGAUGGUCGAACUGUUCCGUAGCUGGAAGAAGAAGCUAUGGAAAAACUAUCUGAAGACAAAGAAAGUGCUAGUAUUCGAGGGGUAUCUAGCCAAGCAGGCGAAUCACUGGAAGGCAUUUCAAGAGUACAAGGAGUUAGAAGAUGCCUAGGCAUUAUCAGAAAAGAACAAGAUAAAUGCCGACAAGAAGAAAUAUCACCACAAGCUGGGGCCAGGAGGCUAUGAGACUGCCAUCCCAAAGUGGGAUAAGAAAGAGCAAGAUCUGCUAGAUAAAGGCAUCGUACCUGAACCACUCCGUGAUGAGUGGGAAUUGAGAGCAAGAAAUUGGUUCCUUGCGCAUGGUGGGUCGUACGACGAAAAAACAGGGGACCUCAUCUGCAGUGACGGUCUUAGGAUACCCAGGGAGAAUUGGAAAAGGAUAGUGAAAGAAAUUAAGGAGGGAAAAAGAAAGUUCACUACAGAUAGAGAGAAAGAUUUGCUCACACUGGUCCUCGGCAAUGACGAACAUGGAGGAAGAACGCGAGGCUUCGGUCCUUCUUACCCGUGGUGGCUUGGGUUUGCCAGAGACCAAGACACUUACAGAAGCCGAGAGAGAGCAAAGAAGCGGCAGCAGGAUGAGGAGAAUGACAAGUUCAACCAGUUGCUUGCCAGGAUUAAUGAGCAACAGAAGCAGAUUGAUGAGCUUAGAGGAGUAGCGCGCCAGGAAGAUCCUGCACUUGAUAUUACCGGCGCCCCAUCUAAGCUGAAAAGCAACGUGGCUGAAUCUGAGGCCCCGCCCGACGAUGCAUGAAGAAUGAUAGAGGGCGGUCCCGGCUACCCCGUGGAUGGAAUCAAGGAGUCAACAUCAUGUGAACUCCAUCAUAAAUUCAAGAACAUAUCCAUGAAGGUGGCCGUCGGACAAGCUUUACCUUCUGGCCCUGAUGCACACUAGCAUGGCCGUGAGAUUCCAGCUGGCUUUGCUAAAGUCGGGGUGGAUGAAAUCCUGACGGGGUUUCAUGAUAUGGAGCUCGACAUAGCUGGACCCGAAGAUGAGAGGACACUCGGAGAAGUACUGGAUGGAGUCAUCCUAUGGGACAAGAACUACAUCAAGCUUCCAGGCUCGGUCCCAAGGACAACACCGCCUCCGAGUCAUCGCAGGUCACCUACACCUCCAUUACCUCCAAGCCCUCCACAUGACAUCAGCCAGCACAACACGAGUCCAUCUCGAUCACCGCCGCCGGACUUGGGUCGUCCGUCUCCGCCGCCGCCCGCUCCGGAUACUAAGCGGGAGCAUGCCACCAAGAACGCUCCGCCGACGAUUCCUAAGCCACGGAGCCCCCCAAAGCGCAAACGGUCGCCCCUCCCAAAGGUACGUCAUGCUAAUCUUCCUAUCAGACCUUAUGAUCGUACCCACGAGGAAAACGCCAGGAUAGCAAAGGAACAUCAUGAUGCGCAGAUGAAAAAGAAGGAACCCGAGCCCCGCCCGAAAUACACCGAGAAGCAAAUAGCAUUUGCAAAAUACUUCACGAUCCUUCCAUCACAGUAUGACUUACACCAUAAGCCUGAUGACUAUACACGCACAUUGCAGAAGGAAGUGAAAAAGAGCAGAUCACCUCCAAGCCCUCCACAUGACGUCGGUCAGCACAACACGAGUCCAUCUCGAUCACCGCCGCCGGACUUGGGUCGUCAGUCUCCGUCGCCGCCCGCUCCGGAUACUAAGCGGGAGCGUGCCACCAAGAACCCUCCGCCGACGAUUCUUAAGCCACGGAGCCCCCCAAAGCGCAAACGGUCGCCCCUCCCAAAGGUACGUCAUGCUAAUCUUCCUAUCAGACCUUAUGAUCGUACCCACGAGGAAAACGCCAGGAUAGCAAAGGAACAUCAUAAUGCGCAGAUGAAAAAGAAGGAACCCGAGCCCCGCCCGGAAUACACCGAGAAGCAAAUAUCAUUUGCAAAAUACUUCACGACCCUUCCAUCACAGUAUGACUUACACCAUAAGCCUGAUGACUAUACACGCACAUUGCAGAAGGAAGUGAAAAAGAGCAGAUCACGUGCAAGUGCAAGUGGGAGCAAAUCAAGUUCAACUACAAGCAAGAAAAAAUCAGACGUUCCUCGUCUUGGACAACAGGCCAAACAGUCGAUCCCACCCCUCAAGGUGUUAACCGAGAAUGUUCCCCCUCCGGUGCAGGGGCUAGCUUUUGAAAUAGCAAAUGAGUUGGCGGUUGAAUGUGGUGUCUCGGUUGAAGAUUUGCUGGCUUCCCAAGACGACAGGAUACCCAAGGCUGUGGUAGCCCCUAAGCCACAGUUUAUCAUGGGUGAGCCUUUGGUCAGCAAAGAUGAUCUUCCAACAAAUAUGCGUUACUUGCAUCAAUGGUACUUAAGUGAAUCAAAGAAUGGGAGAACGAUGAUCGUGCUGAGUGUCCCACGGGAGUACUACGGCCGCCCCGAACAAAUCCAUAUCGACUUUGAUGAACUCUUUCAGAUGUACAAUGGCGACGCCCUCGACAAAUCGCUUAUGAGUUGCUAUUGUCUGUAAGUUUUUCAAUUCGUUGUCUAUAUAUAACUUGUUUAGUUAUUUCAAUUCAUUGUCUAUAUAUAACUUGUACUCUAUUAUGCAGAAUGAAGAUUCUGGAUUGUAAAAGUAAGAACAUCCUAAAUAUUGGGUUUAUUGACCUAGAUAAAAUACAUAUAGCGACGCUAACUGAUUAUCCCAAGGAGACGNNNNNNNNNNNNNNNNNNNNNNNNNNNNNNNNNNNNNNNNNNNNNNNNNNNNNNNNNNNNNNNNNNNNNNNNNNNNNNNNNNNNNNNNNNNNNNNNNNNNAGUAUCCGCAUACCUAUUUCAAUCUCGUUUACUGGCAAGUCUCUUUACUCGUUCCGUAAUACAAGAUCCCGCAACUUACACUAAGUUACAUUGCUUGCAAGACUUGUGUGUGAUGUUGUAUUACUGAGUGGGCCCCGAGAUACCUCUCCGUCACACGGAGUGACAAAUCCCAGUCUUGAUCCAUACUAACUCAACUAACACCUUCGGAGAUACCUGUAGAGCAUCUUUAUAGUCACCCAGUCACGCAGUUUUGGAAUUUUUCUGAAUUUAUAGGCGGAAGAGGUAGGGCAGGCGAGCCACAGGGGGCCCACAAGCCUGCUAGGCGCGGGCCCCCCUGGCCGCGCCUAGGGGCUUGUGGGGUCCCCUGGUGGCCCCUGCCUUGAUUCUCAAGUCUCGUGCGUAUCUUCUGUUCCGGAAAAAAUCUUUUCGGAAGUUUUAUUCCGUUUGGACACCGUUUAAAAUCCUCCUCUGAAAAUGGUCAAAAACAUGGAAAAAACAGGAGCUGGCACUUGGCACUGAGUUAAUAAGUUAGUCCCAAAAAAGAUAUAAAAGGCAUACAAAACAUCCAAAGUUCGACAAGAUAAUAGCAUGGAACCAUAAAAAAUUAAAGAUACGUUGGAGACGUAUCAGCUAUUACUACUAAAGCUACAACCUAGCAAUAUAGUAAAGCAUCUGCAAGCACAAACAUUAGUUUAAAGACAACCCUAUGGCUCCUGCCGGUCGCCGUAGCAUCGACAUGCAAGUCGAUAUUUAACUAUUACAACAUGAUCAUCUCAUACAUCCAAUAUAUCACAUCAUGUCUUUGGCCAUAUCACAUCACAUGCAUACCUUGCAAAAACAAGUUAGACGUCCUCUAAUUUGUUGUUGCAUGUUUUACGUGGCUGCUAUGGGUAUCUGGUAUGAUCGUAUCUUACUUACGCAAAGCCACAACGGUGAUGUGCAAAUUGCUAUUUAACCUUCUCCAAGGACCGCCUCGGUCAAAUCUGAUUCAACUAAAGUUGAAGAAACAGACACCUGCCAGUCAUCUUUAUGCAACAAGUUGCAUGUUAGUCGAUGAAAUCGGUCUCUCAUAAGCGUACAAGUAAGGUUGGUCCGGGCCGCUUCAAUCCAACAAUACCGCCGAAUCAAGACAAAACUAAGGAGGGCAGCAAAUUGAACAUUAACGCCCACAAACUCUUUUGUGUUCUACUCAAGAUAUCAUCUAUGCAUGAACCUAGCUCAUGAAGCCACUUUUGGGGAACGUUGCAUGGGAAACAAAAAAUUUCCUACGCACAUGAAGAUCUAUCAUGCUGAUGAUCAUCUACAAGAAGGAGAUUGGAUCUACAUACCCUUGUAGAUCGCUAAGCGGGAACCAUUAAGAAACAUGGUUGAUGUAGUGGAACGUCUUUGCGAUCCAAAUCACCUUCGUCCCACGAUCCGUCCCGAUCUAGUACCGAACGGACGUCACCUCCGUGUUCAGCACACGUACAGCUCGAUGACGAUCUCCGCCUUCUUGAUCCAGCAAGAGAGACGGUGAAGUAGAUGAUUUCUCCGGCAGUGUGACGGCGCGACGGUGGUGGUGAUGAUCUUAUUCCGGCAGGGCUUCGCCUAAGCACCGCAGAAAUCCGAUCUAGAGGAAGAACUAUGAAGUAGAGGUUUAGGAUUGCACGUGGCAAAAUUGUGCCUCAAAAACCCUAAAACCUUUAGUAUAUAUAGGAGGAACCAAGGGGUGGAGCUUGCCUCCUACUCCAAGUAGGAGGGCUUCGGCCGAGGGAGGGAGGAAGGAAUCCUCCUCCACUUCGGUUUGGAAGGAGGAGUCCCUUCCUUCCUUCCCACCUCCUUUUUUUCUUUUCCCUUUGUUUUUCUCCUUGGCCGAAAUAGCCCUAUUCGUCUGGCCUCACCAGCCCACUAAGGGCUGGUGUGCCACCCAUGGGCCUAUUAGGUUCUCUCUCGGGUGGGUGGCCCCUUCCGGUAAAACCCCGGAACCCAUUCGGCACUCCCGGUACACUGUCGGCAAUGCCCGAAAUCUUUCAGGAAGCCAAAUGCAACAAUCCUAUAUAUCAAUCUUCGUCUCUGGACCAUUUCGGAAACCCUCGUGACGUCCGAGAUCUCAUCCAGGACUCCGAACAAAACUUCGGUCACCAACACCUAUAACUCAACUAUACUGAAACGUCGCCGAACAUUAAGUGUGCAGACCCUGCAGGUUCGAGAACUAUGUAGACAUGACCUGUGACACUCCCCGAUCAAUAUCCAAUAGCGGGACCUGGAUGUCCAUAUUGGAUCCUACAUAUUCUAGAAGAUCUUAUCGGUUGAACCUCUAUGUCAAGGAUUCAAACAAUCCCGUAUAUCACUCCCUUUGUCCUUCGGUAUGUUACUUGCCCGAGAUUCGAUCGUCGGUAUUUCCAUACCUAUUUCAAUCUCGUUACCGGCAAGUCUCUUUACUCGUUCUGUAAUACAAGAUCCCGUGACUAACUCUUUAGUCACAUUGCUUGCAAGGCUUGUAUGUGAUGUUGUAUUACCGAGUGGGCCCCGAGAUACCUCUCCGUCAUACGGAGUGACAAAUCCUAGUCUUGAUCCAUGCUAACUCAAUGGACACCUUCGGAGAUGCCUGUAGAGUACCUUUAUAGUCACCCAGUAAUGUUGCGACGUUUGAUACACACAAGGCAUUCCUCCGGUGUUAGUGAGUUACAUGAUCUCAUGGUCAUAGGAAUGAAUACUUGACAUGCAAAAAACAAUAGCAACAAAAUGACACGAUCACAUGCUACUUUUAUAGUUUGGGUCUUGUCCAUCACAUCAUUCUCCCAAUGAUGUGAUCCCGUCAUCAAGUGACAACACUUGUCUAUGAUUAGGAAACCUUAACCAUCCUUGAUCAAUGGGCUAGUCAACUAGAGGCUUACUAGGGACAAAGUUUUGUCUAGUAUAGGGAGGGGGACUUUUGAAACCUGGGUGUAUAUAGACCCUAUAAUAUGCAAAAGAAAUUUAGCAAUUCAACAAAAAAUUCAAAAAAUCUAAAAAUAUUUUUGAAAUAAACUUGACGUUUCAUUACACUUGUAAGAAAAUUUUCAUAAAAAGAAAAUUACACCCUGACUUCUUUAAAAAAACAUUUUUUCAGUCAAAAUAGUGUGAACAGUGAUCUAUAAUAGCAAAUAAUUUUUGUCUCUUUUAUCCAGAAGUCAAUGUUGACUUUUUUUUCUCGUGAAAAUUUAUACACUAGUGCAAAACAAAGUCAAGUUUAACCUAAAAAUACUUUGAAACUAUUUUGAAUUUUUAAUUAAUUAUUAAAAAAAAUCCUCAUAUAAAGUACAUAUACAACCAGAAAUCAAAGUAUAUUUUUUCCUAUAGUAUAGUACUAAUGCUACUACUAGUAGUACCAUAGUAGUAGUAGUAAAUCAAUACAAUAUUUAUCUAUAGCUAAACCAUGAAUUAAAAACUUGCUUGAGUUCACUAUAUCUUGACCUAUAAAUAGCAAGCAACAGGAGCAUACGUGAUACAUAAUAGAAAAGAGUGCAACAUAACAGAGAGCAAUUGUGUACACAUCUUACUAACCAACAAUCUAGCAUGGAGGCCAAGCUCAUACUGAUCCUCGCGGCUUGUUCGUUGCUUUCCUUUAGCAACCAAGGUAUGCAUUUGCAUAUAAUGUCUUGGCACACAAGUACCUCGGUAUACCGUACUUUUGCACUGAAAGUUCUCCAUUUCAUAUGUAUACAUGUGUAGUGUAUGUGUUUCUGGACGCCAAAACAAACACCAUGAACUAAUUGUGAGGUAAUGCAGGCGACGCACAACCCUGCCCUCUGUCCGAUCUCGCCGUCACCCAGACCGCGGUGCUUGGGAAGACCGGAGGGUACCCGCGGUACCGGGUGGCGGUGGAGAACAGGUGCACCUGCGCAUAGAUCUAUGUGAAGCUGGCAUGCAAGGGGUUCAACUCCUCCAUCAAUGUCGAUCCCGCUGGCGUAAUCGCGUCAGACGAUGACGCACUCUGCAUCCUCAAUGGCGGCCAGUCGGUGCAUCAUGUUGAAAUGGUCACGUUCAACUACGCGUGGAGUACAGAAAUCCGCUUCGAGCCCGUCGGUUCAACUAUAUAAUGUUCUGAAGCAUCCGCGCGUGCUCUAUCGGCGGUAUGAUGUUGAAAGGCUACAAAGCUUGGAAAAAUGUAUGAUGGGUAGGUUAAAGAAUGAGGUGUAGGAAGAUUUAUUUGACAUUGUGUGUCUCCAACUUUCAGUUUUCUUGAUCCAAAUAAAAUAAAGACUCUGAGUUGUAAAGUCACUGAAACAUAUAUCAAUGAGAAGUUAUCCCAAUAUUUUAAAUACUACCACCAUAAAACACUAACAAUCACAAACAUUAAUUGAUGAUCAACAAAGUGAAAACAAAUGUUGUUAUGCAUAGACCAUUGACCUGCCGAGAGAAUCAUUUCUAGUCAUUCUCAAAGAAAUCUUAAAGCUUGGGGGUAACCCAAAAAUCCAAGUUCACACCAAAAAUGCAUAUCCACUUCAUGUAGAAUACAUAUGUAUUAGGGUAUGUUGGUCUCAUUUGACAAAACAAACCAAUGACUAUAUGCAAUUCCCAUUUACCAUCUACUCCCUCCGUUCCUAAAUAUAAGUCUUUUAAGAUAUUUAACUAGAAGUCUACAUACGAAGCAAAAUCAGUGAAUCUACACUCUAAAAUAUGUCUAUAUACGUCCGUAUGUAGUCCACUAAUGAAACUUCUUUAAAAAAUUAUAUUUAGGAACGGAGGAAGUAGUUGUGAUAUUCAGAUACUAUUGCGUAUUAAACAAUAUUAUCAUAUUUUAUCCCCUAGUUAGGACCUUGUGAUAUGGUGCGUCCUACAUUAAUUUCUUUUUUCAACACUCCUACAUUAAUAUUUCCCUGGAACUGAUUAGCCAGACAUACUCGUUAAGACGGUCUUAUGGCCAAUUGAUCAACACAACUCGGAUGCACAUUCGGUAGAAUGUAUCAAAUCAUGUAAAAUGACCUCACACACUAGUGGAAAACGGGCCUUUGGCCGGGACCCUUUAGUCUCGACCUGCCUCUGGGCCGGGACUAAAGGCCCGGCCACGUCGCCCCAAUUCUCAAUGCCUCCCUCGAGGCUUUAGUCCCGGCCCGUAAGGAGCCUUUAGUCCCGGUUCGUGUCCCAAACUGGGACUAAAGGGCUACGCGGUGGGCAGCCCGCAUGUGCGCCACCUUUAGUCCCGGUUUGUGUCUCAAACCGGGACUAAAGUCCUCUACCUAUAUAUAGCACAGCCCCCCUCUCCCCUCUUCCUUGCAUUUUUCUUGGAUGGAGGAUUGUGGGUGGGUGCUAGCUCUCCACUUUUUUUGAUGCACUAGAGGUGUUUGUUGAAAUGUGUGUUAGAGCGAUGCCGCUUUAGUUCACNNNNNNNNNNNNNNNNNNNNNNNNNNNNNNNNNNNNNNNNNNNNNNNNNNNNNNNNNNNNNNNNNNNNNNNNNNNNNNNNNNNNNNNNNNNNNNNNNNNNAUGAGAUGCCUGAGCCACGCUUAAACCUCUUCCUCUUUAUUUCUACUUAUUCUAAAAGGUUAGCAACUAUAUUUCCUCGUUUAGACCGUGCGGUACUAAUUUUUAGGAUCGUGAUUGUAUUUGAUAUACUGUCGUAUAACACAGAUGAGCCAUCCAUGGAUGUACGGUGAUCGACGCACAGCCGCUUACACAGAAGGCGUGCAUUCUUUUCGAGAUGUAGCCGAUGCGAACAAGCAUGGUGGUGGCUAUAUGUUUUGUCCAUGUGUUGAAUGUUGGAAAGAGAAGGAUUACACUUCCUCAAGAGUCAUUCAGAGCCACCUGCUUCGGUCCGGUUUUAUGUCGGGCUAUAAUGUUUGGACCAAGCACGGAGAAAGAGGGGUUAUGAUGGAAGACGACGAUGAAGAAGAAGAGAACGAUGAUGACAACUACCGAUCUAUGUUCCCUGAGUAUGCUGAUACCGCAAUGGAAGACAAUGAAGAAGAAGAUCAGGAUGAAGAACGGGAACCAGAUGAGCCCGNNNNNNNNNNNNNNNNNNNNNNNNNNNNNNNNNNNNNNNNNNNNNNNNNNNNNNNNNNNNNNNNNNNNNNNNNNNNNNNNNNNNNNNNNNNNNNNNNNNNAAGCAUAUACAAUAGCAAAAUUAAGCAAUAAUCUAAGAAACACUAUUAACACUUAAGCAUAUACACUAUACAAUAGCAAAAUUAAAUGACAAAAAAUAUAUUUCUUCUUCUUGUAACCCUAAACUAAUUUUUCCUCUUCUUCUAUUUCUCCUCUUCUUCUACUUCUUCUUCUACUUCUACUUCUCCUCUUCUUCUACCACUUCUCCUCUUCUCUUCUUCUACUUCUCCUCUCCUC
rnacentral:lncRNA from 1 species